rnacentral:lncRNA from 1 species
AGUGAUUUGCAUGGUUACUUCACACCUUGUUUUGUGAUCCUCGGCAUCCCAGUCACAAAACCUGAAGGGCACACUCGAGAUUGAAACAUGCCUUUGAACAGUUCAAUGAAUCUCAAAGAUCUAGGAGUUUCAAAACCAAUUAAAACCUAAUAAUACAUUUCGUUUAUCUUGGUGGAAAUUGGUGAAUCGUCAUUCACCUACCUUCAAAUAUUUUAUAGCUUGGAUUACGGCAUACCUCUUCUAAGUUAUAAAAUAGUUUGUUGGGUCCUAGCCUUAAUAUUUCAUAUUGGGUGUCAUAUUAAGGACUUUAAAUCAACUAUCUUGAAUAUCUCCCAAAAGAUGUCUGGUUUAGACACCUAUGAUCUUCCCAAAUCUCUUGAAACAAGGUUUCCUAAUGAAGAUGAUGUCCCAUGGAAAUCAUACUUCUUUCACCUCCUCCAAUUAUUCUCCCUAACCCACAAGUUCUUGAAAAGUUUAAGGUCACUCAAGCCCUAUUGGCAAGGCAAGGUCUAGGUGUGAUCACAUCUUGGAGAUGUAGUCACAUAUUGACAAGCCGGGAGAGUUGGGUGUCAAAGUCUUGAGAAAGUUGGUGGUUCAAUCACUUUCUAAGUCACAUAGUGAGUUCCUUUGGGACACCUAUGAAACAGACUAUGACAAGACCCUUAAUGAUCUUAUCUAUUUGCUAAGAUCAACUUCCUAAAACUUUAUGGACAUUGACAAUGAUGACAUAGGAUAUCCAGAAAAGCAUUCUCUUCCCAAUGGAAAGGGAUCGGCCAUAGUCAACUCGGUUGACCAAAUGGUAAAGAGAAAAGCUAAGUCUGUGAUAGUCCCGUGUACCAUUAUCAAAGGGUCCAUAUGUUUAUAUUGCCAAAGGAAGGGGCAUUGGUUGCGAAGCUGCCAAAUUUACCUAAGGAUGUUAAAGUCAAUAAGUUUGACUCUACUUCAGGUAAAGUCCACUAUCUAACUCUGCUAAGUUUCUAUUCUGAGAUUCUUAUUACAUGAUGUGACUGGGUCACAUGUUGAUGUUUUAAGAAUCAAAGAAAAGUAAAGGAACUUAAAGAAAGAAUAUGCUGAAUCUGAUCGCGUAGAUGGAUUUCUAUCGCAUAGUUUGAAGAUCGGAUUCUUGAGCUACUUCUUAGGAGUUAUGAGAUAUUGCUUAGGAAUAGAUAACAACAAGUUUUCAUAUGGAUUGUAAGGAUAAGUUUUUCCGCAAAGUUUUAAAAUAAAAGAAAAUUUUUGAUUUUAUUUAUUUUAAAAUAUCCUUACAAUGGCAUUUGAGGAAAAAUUGUUGCUUAUAUGAUUCCAUUAAUAGCAAGAGUGGAAAUAUGAAAUUGAUUCUUUCAUUUGUGGUAAUGUCUAAAUUUACCAAAUAAGGAAAGAUUCUCAUCACCCAAGUUUCAAUUGGACCGGAACUUGGAAUCAUGCAAGUUGUAUAGCAUGAUGAAUGAGAACUUUCAAGUUUUGGAAAAUUAAGACUAAUUACUCGUUCACAUGGAUGUGUGAGUCAAGUAAAGGACUAAGGGAUCGAGUACACAUUCUUGUGCACUGAUUAAGUCCACCACAGAAGACCGAUAAGAUUAUUCGUCAUAAUUUACUAAAGCUUAGUAAAUAUGGUUAUACUUACAUGCUAAAGUAUAAUUCUGAGACAUCGGAAAAGUUUCAAUGUAACGUAGUGCGAAUAAGAAGAAUCAACUUAGGCAGAAGGAUAAAAGUUUCUCAAAUCUGAAAAGAUGGGAGAGUACUUUAGUAUCAGUUUUUGUGAUCAUCUUAAUGAUUAAGAAACCAUAUCAAAGUUAGUUCUCUAAGGAAAUCUUAGUGUAUUCUUAUGACUAAGAAGAGGAACUUGAAUUGUUGAAAUGGUUAAAUCAAGAAGAUGAGUCAUACUUCGUUCCAAUACAAGUCUUAGAGUCAUACUCCAAGAUUGUAACUUGAGUGACAUGUCUUAAAGAAGGUUUAAAACACUUGUCAAAUGUAAGAGUAAAAGUUUUCUACUCUUGUACAUUUGAAAUUGGUAAGUUGUGAUGUUUUGGAUAAAACAAAGACCAACUUAGGCCAAUUGUGUGAAGUGUUUGUCUUGAUUAGAAUCCACACUAUCUCUUGGAUAUUUGACAAGGGAGUCUUAUAGGUCAAGAGGACAGUGGGAGUCUUAAAGGUCUUGAAAGUCUCAAGAACUAAUCAAGAAUAAAACCUAAAGUUCUUCACUAGCACACAACUUGAGGUUCAUAACCUAUCGUGUUGACAUAUUCUGUGCCCAUUCCAGUUAAAGUUGGCUUUGCAUAUGAGUUCUUAGAGUUCUCAAUUUGUUGCACAACAACUUGGAAGCAAUGGUAGGCCCUUGAGCUGCCAGGUGGCAAGAAAUUAAGAUUGAGUUCAGUCCAUAUGAGUUUGGAUUUGUCAUUAUCCUUGUCUUGUGACUAUGAUUUUGACAAUUCACAUGGAUAAGAACACAUACACCAUUAAAUCUAAGUGUCAUAAGGUUUCUCUCCGAUUCAUGAAAAUGAUGGUGAGGAAACACUUUCACUAAGUAGAUUUUAGCUAGAUAGCAAUUGUGAUAUUUGCAUUCUCAAAGUCGUUAGUGGAGCGCGUGUGGUUAACCGGCACACUAACUUGGACUUGUGAGAAGUGGCAAAAAGGUCUAAACAUUAUGAUUACGGCAUCCCUCUUCAUAAUUGUUUAGAUACACAAGUGUGCUAUCUAAGGGAAGGUGUAUGAUUUUGAUAAAGUUUUAUCAAAACAAUCUAGCAUCAGAAAUCUGAACUUUGGUAAGAAAGUCAAUGAAGUAUUGAUUUCUAGAAGUCCAGCUGAUUUCUGAGUACAUGUCAAAGCUAGUGGGAGCAUAAGUGUUAUGCUAAUAAUCAUCAUGUUAGUGGGAGCAUGAUAAUUAUGAUAAGUAUUGCAAGUUAGCAAUGUUAAUUAUAGAAAACAAAAGUUUCAAUUGGGAAAAAGUUGUUUUGCUAUAAUUAAGGGAGAGGAAAUUAUACUUCAUCUCAAAUCUAUAAGCUUAGAUCGUGAGGUUUUAAUCAUUUAGUCAAGGAUAUAUAUGAAUUUCAUGUUGGAAUGGCUCAACAUAAGGAAAUUCUGUAUAUGGGUCCAUUAUUUGCGUUCUAAAAUUCGAUUAUGAUUACGGCAUCCCUUUUCAUAAUCUGAAUUAUGAGAACUUGGCAAAUUGAAAUGGAAAUGUUAUAGCAAAAGACUGGUUUAGUCUUUAUGUGAGACAUCAUGAAUCGUGUCCCAUAUGCUUCGGAUAUAGGAUCGAUUACAUGUGCUAUAUUCAUCCGUUCUAAAAUUUUCCAAAUGCCUGGGGCAUUAAGAAGGGAAAAGGUUUAGAACUGGAUAUGACUAAAAGGAUUAAACAAUUGUCGAGGACAAUCUAAGGUUUACCAAAGAUUGGUUGCUCAAGGACAGUUGGAAGUAUAGUGAUAAUUCUGGAAGGACCAUAUUGACAUAAUCUGUAAGGAGGCAACUCUUGUUCAGAAGUGAUAGUCAAAAUGGAAUCUGGAAAUGUUUCAAAGUUAGAAUUUUCAAUCUGUUUAAGAUUAGGAAACUUAAUGCAAGAAGGAUGUUUCCAAGGAGCUGAUCUCCUUUGGAAUACUCUGUAAUGAUUGUUGUCAAGUCUUUCUGACUUUGUGCAUAAUCAUUACAAGAGGAUCAAUGCAUAUAAGUUUAGAAUCUAACAGAUUUCAGUAAAUGGCAUGAAUUUGGAAUUCUUGCAUUUGCAGUAAGGAUUUGGGAGUGUGAAAAGAGAAUCAUUGAAGUUAUGUUCAAUUGAUCUAGUUCACAAAGUAAAGAUCAUAGACAAACAUAGUAUGCAUACUUGGUGUGUGGCAUGACUAGUGUUUAAGAAAACAUAGUGUACAUGCUUGGAGCAUGGGACAACUAUUGUUUUAAAUUCAAGAAUAAAGUUGAUAGCUGAAACAGUAUACAAUGAAUAAUGUGUAAUCAUAUGGUGAUAAAUAAAAGGUGUUUUAUUUAUGUUCAAAGGGUUGAUACCAUAUUGGAUUCAAUUAUUAUUGUGUUUCAUUUUGCAUGUUUUGACUUCCCGAAUAAACUAGGUUAUUCUUCCGGAAUGACUAAGUUAUUCAAACCAUCCACAGUCGGUCAUAUGUUGGAAGUAGAUAUGAAUUAAGACUGUCAUGGGUUGGCUUGUAGAGGUCUAAGGUGUUGGACAAAGGGCUACAACACUCAUGAGUGCUCAUAAGUUCUGAGUAUUGGAUUCAACCCGCGCUCAUUGGAAUCACUUCAUGGAUUUUAUCACGAGUGAUCAUGAGACGAUAAUAUCUUAUAUUCUUCAAACCUAGAGAUAUGAGUUGUUACUAUGAGUUGAUAGUACAUUGAUUGCACGAAAACGCAUUUGGUAACUCGGUGCUAUAAAACGUGCCUUUGUGUAUGAUUCAACAAGUAGUAGAACAAGCCAUAUGAGUCGAAGUUUAUCCAUUCCUUUUACCUUCGGGAUAAAAGCGAUAUCUGUGGGCCCCUCGAUGAUUUGAUGAUGACAAAUGGAAGUGCUCGGCCGGGCCAGGACUGAUUUGAUUUGUUCAAUUAGUCAGUCGUCAUAAAUCGGAAAUCGGGAAACAACAAAUGGACAGAGAGAAUGAUUAUAAUCCAUGUCUCAGUCCAUAUGAUAUCUAGAAUGGAGGAAUAUAUGAUCCCUUAUCUAAUGGACAAGUCAUUGACAAAGGUCAGAGUUCAUCGACAAGGUCAGAGUUCGACAGAAGCUUUUGAGAGCUACGAUUGCCAGUUGGUUCCUGAAGUCAUACGCAAUAAUAGUUUUAGACUUAUCCAAGUGGGAGACUGUUGGAUUAAUGUCUAAGUCCAUAACUAUAAUUGGUAAGACUUGACCCGACCCGGCAUGGUCCAUUUGGGUUGCAUACCAUCAUGCACUUGGAUAGACUAUAAUGAGAGAAAUAAGACACUUAUGGUUAUUAAUAUAUUAUAAGUUCUAGUAUAUUAAUAAUAAGAAUAAUAAGAUUAUUUAAUUAGUAUUGAUCAAGAAUUAAUCUAGGAUUAAUUAAGUGAUCAAAAGAAGACUAAUUAAAUAUAUGGGUUGAUUGUGUAAAUCAUCCAUACUUGUAUAGUGGGCUAAUGCUCCAUGGAUAAUCAAGUUGGGCUAAAACCCAUAGGAUGGUCCAUGGAUGCUCCAUGGUGUAUUUGAACCCAUGGAUCCAAGGAAAUGGAAAGUCAUGACAAUUAGGGUUUACCCUAAUUGUAACACCAUAUAAAGAUCUUAUUCUUGACAAAAAUCGGCCACUAGUGUGAAAAAGAAGGGAUAGCCGAUUUUCAUGAAGUUUAGAAUUCUAUCAAGUUAUUCCAAGUGUAUUUGAUGUUGUGUGAACCAUUUGAGGUGUCACACUUGGGGGACUAGGCACUCAAGCUUCAUGAAGACUUUCUACAUGGAAGAGGUAUGUAUUCUAUCUUGUUAUAUUCAUUAUUUUGUAUGCUAGCUUAGGAUAAUACCUUGGAAGUUCUUAUUUGCAUGUAUAAUAGAGAAAACAUAGAUCCAAGGUAUUUAGGGUUGCAUGUAGACUUAGGAGUGUUAGAAUGCUCAAAACCCAACACUUGAAUCUAUGAUGUAUUCAAUGUUGGAAUGAAGCUCCUUACACAUAGAUUCAUACACACACACACACACACACUCUUCUCUCUAACUUUCUCUCACACCUUAAGAACACACACUUAAGCACCUAGAGAAAUCUGAUCACCUCACCCACCUAACACCUAUAUAUACAUUGGCCACAAACUCAAGGCUGGACCGAAAACCCAAUGGACCGAAAACCCAAUGCUAGACCGAAAACUCAUGGGUUUUCAGUCCAAGCUACAAUUAAUCCCAAUAUUAGUUUUCGGCCCAAAUGAUAAAACAAUAAAUGCUUAGAAAAGCAAAGUAUAUACCAUUUUUAGACCCAACAACCGAUCGGUACGAGCAUCAGAGGUCUUCCAAGAUUGUGUUUUGAGAUUGUUCGAGGAGCGUUACCUGGUAGACUUGGUUCCCAUACCCUUGCGGGGGAACAAUGUUAUUAUCGGCAUGGAUUGGCUAAGCCACAAUUAGGCAGUGAUAGAUUGUGCACAACAGUUGGUGCGAGUCAGGACCCCAGGAGGGGGAGAGUUAGUGAUUCAGGGCGAGAGGCCACAUCGAGGGCCAACUUUAUGUUCGGUAGCGAGGGAAAGGCGUUACCUUCAGCAGGGUUACUCAGGAUAUGUUGCUUAUGUCAUGGACACCCGGGCGACGGGUAAGACGAAAGUGGGCGAUGUGCUCGUGGUACGAGAGUUUGCGGAUGUAUUCCCCAAGGAGUUGCCUGGGAUACCUUCGGAGCGACAGGUGGAGUUCAGAAUCGACCUAGUCCCUGGUGUGGCUCCGAUAGCCAAGGCACCGUAUCGGUUGGCUCCUCUUGAGAUGCAGGAGUUAAGGGAUUCAUUAGACUAAGUAGUUCUCCCUGGGGAGACCCGAUUCUGUUUGUAUAGAAGAAGGACGGGUCGCAUCGGAUGUGUAUAGAUUAUCGGGAGCUGAAUAAGGUAAAAGUGAAGAACCGUUACCCACUUCCGAGGAUUGAUGACAUCUUUGACCAGCUACAGGGAGCAUCUUGGUUCUCAAAGAUUGAUCUGUGUUCAUGAUAUCAUCAGAUGAGGGUCAGAGAGGAGGAUGUACAGAAGACAGCGUUCCGGACGCGCUAUGGCCACUAUGAGAUCAUGGUGAUGCCUUUCGGGCUCACCAAUGCUCCUUCCGCGUUCAUGGAUCUCAUGAACCGUGUGUGCAUACCGAUGUUGGAUCGGUCCGUGAUAGUUUUCAUCGAUGAUAUCUUGGUUUACUCCAAGACGCAGGAGGAGCACGAGGAGAAUUUGCGAGAGGUUCUGGAGACUUUGAGAAGAGAGAACUUGUAUGCUAAGUUCUCCAAGUGUGAGUUCUGGUUGCGCAAGGUGCAGUUUCUCGGGCACCUUGUCAACUAGAAUGGGAUAUUGGUGGACCCGGCCAAAGUGGAGGCCGUGAUGAGAUAGGAGGUUCUGAGGUCUCCAUUUGAGAUUCGGAGUUUCCUAGGAUUAGCCGCCUACAAUCGAAGAUUCAUCUAGGAUUUCUCCAAGAUAGUUGUACCCCUGACCAGGCUAACGAAGAAAGCCAUGGUCUUUCGUUGGGGGCCUGAGCAGCAGGCUGCAUUCGAGUCAUUGAGACAGAGAUUGUGCGAGACGCCAAUCUUAGCCCUGCCAGAGGGCAUGGAGGAUUUUUUUGUGUACUGCGAGGCGUCCGUCUCGGGUUUGGGCAUAGUACUGAUGCAGAGAGGACAUGUUAUUGAUUACGCUUCGAGGCGGCUGAAGCCACACGAGGCAAACUACCCGACGUAUGAUUUGGAGCUGGGGGCUGUUGUGUUCGCCCUCAAGAUUUGGUGUCAUUCCCUCUAUGGGGUCCGUUGUACCAUCUACACGGACCACAAGAGUUUGAGGCACCUCAUGGAUUAGCCGAAUCUAAACAUGAGGCAGCGUCGGUGGUUGUACGUGGUGAAGGAUUACGAUUGCGAGAUCCUUUACCACCCGGGGAAGGCCAAUGUGGUGGCCGAUGCGCUUAGCCGCAAGGUAGCACCGAUCAGGGAUAUCUGCCUGAGGAUAAUAGUGGUGACUCCGCUGUUGGAGCGGAUUCGGGAGGCCCAACAAGAGGCCAUGAAGGAGGAACGUCGAAAGAGCGAGCAGAUUGUGGGGCAGGUUUCCUCCUUCGACUAUGAAAACCGAUGAUUACUGACACUACACCGUAGGGUGUGGGUACCGUACCACGGGGGUGUGCGCCAGGUUCUGAUGGAGGAGACGCACAAAUCUCGAUUCUCCAUUCAUCCCGGGGUGAAGAAGAUGUAUAGGGAUCUUCGUCUGGACUAUUGGUGACCCUGCAUGAAGCGGGAUGUGUCAUGGUACGUGGAGCAAUGCUUGACCUGCAGGAAGGUCAAGGCCGAGCAUCAGAGACCUCACGGCAAGAUGCAGCCGUUGGACAUCCCGCUGUGGAAAUGGGAAGACAUUACGAUGGAUUUUAUCACAAAGCUUCCCAGGACUGCGCGGGGAGUGGAUUCGGUUUGGGUCAUCGUCGAUCGAUUGACCAAGAGCGCCCAUUUUAUUCUGAUUCAGGAGAGUAUUUCGGCCGAAAGGUUGGCCGAUAUCUAUAUCAGGGAGGUAGUGGCGUGGCACGGGGUACCAGUAUCGGUGAUUUCAGAUAGGGAUGUGCGGUUCACUUCCAGGUUUUGGAAGAAGUUUCAUGACGAGCUGGGUACUCGUCUGCAUUUUAGCACCUCCUUUCACCCGCAGACGGAUGGUCAGAGCGAGCGGACCAUCCAGACUCUGGAGGAUAUGCUACGAGCAUGCGUGUUAGAAUUUGAAGGUAGUUGGGAUACCUACCUUCCAUUGGCAGAGUUCUCCUAUAACAAUAGUUAUCAUGCGAGCACUGAUCGCCCUCCAUUCGAGAUGUUGUAUGGGAGGAGGUGCAGGACCCUGAUAUGUUGGGGCGAGGUUGGUCAGAGGGUAAUGGAGAGCACCGAAGUAGUGCUCAAGAUGACUGAGAAGAUUCAACAGGUCCAGAGCAGGCUUCAGAUUGCUCAGAGUCGGCAGAAAAGUUAUGCCGAUAAGCGCCGAUCAGACCUGGAGUUCCAGGUCGGGGAUAUGGUUCUCCUGAAGGUGUCGCCAUGGAAGGGCGUCAUCCGAUUUAGGAAACGGGGAAAUUUGGACCCCAGGUACAUUGGACCGUUCAGGGUCUUAGCCCGGUGGGCAAGGUGGCGUACAGGUUGGAUCUGCCAGCCGAACUCAGCCAGAUCCACAUCACUUUCCACGUCUCCCAGCUGCGGAAGUUCCUGGUGGACGAAUCAACAAUGGUACCCUUAGAGGAUAUUCAGGUCGAUGACAACCUGAAUUACAUCGAGCGACCUGUAGCAAUCCUCGACCGGAAGUCGAAGGAUCUGAUGAACAACAGGGUGGAGCUCGUGAAGGUGCAAUGGCAGCACCGAAAGGGCUCAUAAUGGACCUGGGAGCCGGUGGAUGAGAUGAUGGAGCAUUACCCAGAGCUGUUCCAGGAACAAGCAGAAAACUGCGAGGACGAAGUCUAAAAUAAGUGGGGAGAUUUGUAGCACCUAGUUCUUGGUAUGUAAUUUAUUUAAGUGUUUUGCAUUUUUUGCCUGGGACUCGACGAGUUGAAGGAGGGUCCAUGCCGAGUAGAAGCGGGAUGGGACGUGAGAUUUAAGCGGUGGACUCAUCGAGUCGGUUCCCGGACUCGACGAGUAGGCUCUGACUGGACAAAACCCUAAUAUGAGGGUUUGCACCCUAUUUAAUCAUCUCUUUCAGCCACCACUCGUCCUCAUUUCUCCCAGAAACCCUCCAUAGCAAACCCUAAGUGUUUUGGUGCAAGAUCUAAGGCUUUUGUGUGAUUUUUGUGGAUUUUGACCUCAAGGAUGAAGGAAGAGCAUAGAAGGAUCACGAGGAGACUGAAGGAUUUGAGUUUGGUUUAUCAUUUUCAUUCUUUGAAAGGUAUAAAGUCUGUACCCUGCUUGCUUGUUUUUUAGAUCCCUUUUUGGGGAAGAUUUAGGGCUUUUUAAGCCAUACGAGGUAGCCAACCAUGAUUGCAAACCUGGUUGGGGUUCAAGACUUCAGAUCUAAGUCUUGGGAGGAGUCACAAGGCAGAUUUGGAUUGCUUUUGCACCCAAGGAAGGUCCCAUGCAACAUAAGAGCCAUUGUAGAGCCUUUUAGGCUCAAAAGUCCCAUGCAUGCACGUAAAGUUCGUAACUUUAUGUGCUAGAUCGAGCUUAGGGGCUUGGAUCUAUCCUUUGGUCAAAGGUUGUACAUCAGAAAUCGAGGAUUUAGGGCAUGGACGUUAUCGACUCAGCGAGUCCGUUCUUGGGACUCGACGAGCCCAAGGCAUAGAGUCCCUUAUCUGUUGAGGGUCAAAAGAACUUAGUUGGGUGUUAGAAGGGUUGUAGAAGGUCCGAAGGAGUGACCUAAUGUUUUGGACUUAGCCUUAGACCUGGAGUUCAUGGGACUCGAAGAGUGCUAGAACAGACUCGACGAGUCCAAGGCAAUAUCCUUACGGUUGAAGACGAACUCGACGAGUUGUUCAUACAACUCGGAGAGUCAAGGAUAGGACUUGUUCAUCAGAUGAAGGUGAACUCGAAGAGUUGUUCAUACAACUCGACGAGUCGGAUGAAGGUUCAUUCGAUGUUCAUAUCGAAGAGGAACUCGUCGAGUCAUUGCCAAACUCGACGAGUCAAGUCGUGGAUAAGGACGAGUAAAGGGUAGGGACUCGACGAAUUCACGACCCAACUCGGCGAGUCGGGUCAACUGUAAGUUGACUUUGACUUGGACUUGGGUGGGGUAAAAUAGUCAUUUUACCCUAAUAGUAGAUAUCAGAUUCUGACUGAGUGUUUUGUGGGGAUUAUAGCCGGAGGUUUUCCGGAGUAGCAGCAACAGACAGAGGUUUCCCGCACAGAUUAUCAGCAGUUACUCGUACGAGGUGAGUUACCUUCUAGUAGCAGUGGGUCUACGGCCAUAAUGCCGGCCCACCAGUAGGAGUUGUAUGUUAGAUGACUGUCUCUGUGAUAUCAUCUAGGUUUCCUACUACCUGAUGAUAUGUUAUAUGUGAUAGUAGUAGAGCUCGGUUGUUAGGACCGAAGGGUAGGUCAGACACCCCCAGAUAUGUCUGAUAGUAUGUGCUGAUAUGUUCAUAUGCUGACAUGAUAUGUUAUAUGUGAUAGUGGUUGUAGGUGGGGAAUAGUCCCCAAGUUCGGUUGUUAGGAAUGAAGGGUAGUUCGGACACCCCAGAUAUGUCUGAUAGUAUGUUUAUGUUAUGGUAUAUGUAAUAGUAGCAGUAGGGGGUGGAAUAGUCCCCGAGGGUCGGUUAUUAGGACUGACGGAUAGGUCAGCACCCCAUAAUGGCUUGACAUGGGUAGGUCAGCACCCCAGAAUGGCUAGACAUGGGUAGGUCAACACCCCAGAAUGGCUUGACACAGGUAGGACGGCACCCCAGAAUGGCCGCAAGGGUAGGUCGGCACCCCAGAAUGGCCGUACGGGUAGGUCGGGCACCCCAGAAUUGCCCGACAGUAUGUAUUUUAUGUGAUUGUAUGGUAUGUGGUACGAUGGGGGAACUCACUAAGCUUCGUGCUUACAGUUUACAGUUUUGGUUUCAGGUACCUCUUCAGCGAAGGGGAAGGAGCUGGCACGGUAGCGGCACAUCAUACACACACUCAUUGUUUUCCGCACUAUGGAUAUUCUGGGAUUUUACUCUGACAUGCUAUUAUUUUGUGACUUGGGUUUUCAGACAUGAUACAUUGUUUUAUGAGAUGAUGUGAUUUCACAGUAUUUUCUUAUGAAUGUUUUUAUGAAUCGGUUAAUUAAAAAAGAAAUUUUUGGACUUGAAAAUUGGGUCGUUACAAGAUAGGAUGAUGUUAUGCUUAGUGAUCUGUAAGAUCUGCCUGUUUGUCUGCUUGACUGGUUAUAUGUUUAUUUGUUAAGUAUAUAUCGACAUAUUAUGUGUGGUUGGGUUGAGGCAGUCGUUCUUUGUGCUGAAGACCAAAAGACCCAGGGGGUCCCGGAUAGACUGAAGGCCAGUGGGGAGUACUAGUCAGGUCGAAGGCCUGAAGAGUGUUCCAGAUAGUCUGAAGGCCCGAAGUAGUGUACUAGCCAUGGUGUAGGUUCUGUGAGUGUACCAGAUGGACUGUAGGCCAGUUGGGCGUUCCAGUCAGACUGAAGGCUCUGUAUGCAUGUUGUUUAUUGUAUUAUUAUGGUUUUGUGUUGUGUUGGUACUUUGGGGGAUACUCACUAAACUUUGGGAUUACAAUUUUGGAUUAUGUUUCAGGUACCUCAGAGGAUCGCGGAAAGGCAAAGGCGUGAUCAUGCACCUCCUCAUGUUAUGUUUUGGGAUUUUGGGAAAAACUCUGAUGAUAAAAACGUUUUGAAAACUAUUAUGUAAAAAAUUAUGAUUUUUGGUUGGUUUGGAAUAGUUUAAAUUUUUAUGAAUGUUACAAGUUGGUAUCAGAGCCUUGGUUUGAGUGAAUUGGAGGAACACUCAUGUGAAUCCAGUCUCAAACUAAGGAAAAAGAUUUUAAUUUUUUUUUUCAAAUGAUUUUCAACAUAAUAGAGGAGGAUGCAAGGUGUACGAUCAAUCGGAGUCAGUAAGUGACCCCAAAUUACCACACAAGUUAUUUGAGAUUAUGCUAUGUUAUUAUUAGAACAACAAACUAGUAACAUGAUAGGGAUCCCCAGGAAUCGUAUGUUAGAAUUGCCUGAUAUUUGAUGUCUUAUCUCCUAUACAGCACCCUAUUAAUUGUUGUAUGACUCUUUCGUGUGUGAACUAGUUGUUGCUAAUGGUCUUGGGGUAAGGGAAUUGGUCCCGCCGCGCAGCUCUUGUUUGAGUCCAACCGUUAUGGGAUUGAAACCUUUAGCCUAUGUUUGUUUAAGUCAUGUAGUAUGUGAUAGUAUUUAUGCAAUACUUAUCUGGCACAAAUGGAGGGUCAUGUGGCAGUUAAUGGUAGGAUGAGUUUGUGGGGUCAGCUGGCCAGUCGGUAUGUGUAGCCUUCCUCUUGGAAGUGAGGGUAGAGUGCCUGAAUAUGGUAGAGGGAAGUAUACUGUUAGGGUUGUUGUGAUGAUCCUCUAAGACAACUACGGGUAGGUGUGGAGGAUAGUAUGGACCCGUACUACUGAAAGCACAGGACCCGUAUGCAUAGAAAGGAAGUCACAACCCCUAGGGCUUGUUGGGAGUUGGUUUCUCAUUUUGGUUAUAUGUGUUAUCUGAUAUCUUCCUCGUGUAUUUCAGUAUGGUGACUACGAGGCGACUUGAGACCGGAUCCGGGUCGGGAUCGGAGCUGGCAGGCAGAUUGGAGCUGAUGAGCUGGAUGCCAAGAUUAGGGAGAUUCUCCACGGGGAGGUUGUGGCUAUCGUCCGGGAUCAAAUACUAGAGUUAUUUGGGUCUAUUAAGACCGUGAUGAUGGAGUUCUUUGAUGACAGAUACGCAAGCAUUGCUGAGACUGCUACUGCUGCAGCCUCCGCAGCCGUAGCAGCUACAGGUGUUGGAUAGGGUUGGGUUUUUCAGUAUCAGGACUUCGAUAAUACAAAGCAGCCUACUUUCGAUGGAGUUUGGGACCCGAUCGUAGCCAUGAGGUGGCUAUAUGAUGUCAAGGGAUGAUUUUUCACCUGCUCUUGCCCAACUGGCCAGAAGGUCGGGUGCGCUCUAAACCUCUUGAGGUCCGAAGGGUGGGAUUGGUGGAGACUUGUUACGGGAUCGUAUUCUGCUGAGCAAAGGGUUGCAGUGACUUAGGAUCAGGUUAUGAAGAUGUUUCGUACUCGUUAUGUGUCGCAGGUUAAGUGUGAGAGGUUAGCCCAUGAGUUUUUGGAUCUGUGGCAGGGAUCGGAGUCGGUGAAGGAGAUCACCCGGAUGUUUACUAAGAGGGCCAUGUUUGGCCCUGAGUUUGCUUUGGAGCAAGCUUAGAUGACCCGUUACAUGAGCAUGCUCAAGACAGAUAUGAGGCAGUUCAUUUCCACCUAAUGUUAUGAUUCUUUGCUGGAGUUUAAGGAGGCCGCCAGGCGGCGUGAUCUUGAGAUAAAUCUUCAGUUGAGGGAGCAGAGACCGGCCCCAGUACAGUCGCAACCAACGUCGAAGCGAUUCAAAUCCGCUGAUUCUAGGUAUGGGGUUAGCGAGGCUGCACUUAUAGGAAGUACGGAAAGGUUCAUGACAAGGCUUGUCAAUUAGGAGGGGUAUGCUACAAGUGUAGCAGGGAGGGGAACUAUGCGAGGGAUUGCCGCCAGUUAACCCCAGUUCAGAGUAUGAGGAUUUGCCAUCAUUGUGAUUAGGUUAGCCAUGUGAAGGUCAACUAUCCAUUACUCUCUGCCAAGUCAGCAUAGGCCCCUGUGCCAGCUACAUUGAGGAUCACAGAUGGGCGCCAAGGGAAGGCGGAGCCCCCGAGGGCUUGAGGUCGCGCUUUUCAGAUCACUGUCAAGGAGGCCAGAGCAGCUCCAGAUGUCAUGAUUGGUAUGUUUCUAUAUGUUAUCUUGUUGAUUAUGUUUGUAUUAUGCUUAUAUAUAUAUAUAUAUAUUUGUACCUUCGUUAGGUACAUUCCUAGUGAACUCCUUACCUGCUUUAGUGUUGUUUGACUUGGGUGCGAGUCGGUCCUUUGUUUCUCGGUCUUUUUGUAGGGAGUUUGCUAUUCCCUUAGGGGAGUUGGAGUUUCCGUUGCGAGUUUCUAUCGUCAAUGAACACAGGGUUUUUGCUUCGUCGGUGUAUCAGGGUUGUGUGCUGGAGAUUUUCGGGGUAUCCUUUCCGAUUGAUUUGAUCCUUAUCCCUAUGGUGGAUGUCUGCGUGAUUGUGGGUAUGGAAUGGUUGAGCCGUUUUGACAUGAUGAUUGAUUGUGAGGGUCAGUGCGUGGUAGUUCAAAGCCCGAGUAGGGGAGAUCUGGUUAUUUAUAGAGAGGGAACCAUGAUCGGUUUAGGGUUUUGUUCUAUAGCCAUGGAUCGACAAUAUAUUCAGCAUGGGUGUGCUGGUUACUUAGCUUAUGUGGUGGAUACGCAUGUUGGGGAUCAGGUGUUAGUUUCAGAGGUCCUAGUGGUCAAGGAGUUUGUCGAUGUAUUCCCGGAGGAGUUACCCGGUGUGCCUCCUGAGAGGUAGUUCGAGUUUAGGAUUGACCUUGUUCCAGGUGCGACCCCAAUUGCCAAGGCGCCAUGCCAUUUGGCACCGCCUGAGAUGUAGGGGUUUUCAUCUCCGUUGCAGGAGUUUCUAGGCAAGCAGUUGAUCAGACCGAGUAGUUCUCAAUAGGGAGCGUCGAUUUUAUUCAUCAAGAAGAAGGAUGGUUCACAUCGGAAGUGUAUUGAUUACCGGGAGUUGAACAAGCUCACGGUGAAGAACCGUUAUCCCCUUACACGGAUUGAUGAUCUCUUUAAUCAGUUGCUGGGUGCAUCUUGGUUCUCCAAGAUAGACCUGAGGUCCGGAUACCAUCAUGUCAGGGUGAGAGAGGAGGGCGUUGAGAAGACCACGUUUCAGACUCGUUAUGGGCAUUAUGAGUUCGUGGUGAUGCAAUUCGGGCUCACCAAUGUGCCUGCGGUAUUUAUGGAUUUGAUGAAUCGGGUAUGCUGGCCGAUGCUCGAUUGUUCGGUCAUCGUGUUUAUUGAUGAUAUCUUGGUACAUUCCAAGACCAGAGAGCAGCAUGAGUAGCAUUUCCGCGAGCUUCUGGUGGUUUUGAGGCGAGAACGACUUUAUGCUAAGUUCUUAAAGUGCAAGUUUUGGUUACAAGAGGGCCAAUUCCUUGGACACCUCGUUAACCAGGACGAGAUGUUGGUCGAUCCAGCCAAGAUUGAGGCGGUGAUGCAAUGGGAGGUUCCGAAAUAUCCCUCGGAUAUCAGGAGUUUCUUGGGGUUGGCAAGGUACUACCAGAGAUUUAUUCAAGAUUUCUCCAAGAUUGUAGUACCCCUCACUUGUUUGAUGAGAAAUGGGGUGGAUUUCCAGUGGGGCCCUGAGCAGCAGGCGACAUUCAAGACGUUACGACAGAGAUUAUGUGAGGCCCCGGUUUUGACCCUCCCGGAAGGGAUUAAGGAUUUCGUGGUGUUUUGUGAUGAUUCUAGCACUGGUUUAGGGGCGAUCCUCAUGCAGAGAGGACGGGUGAUAGCUUAUGCUUCGCGGUAGCUAAAGCCGGAUGAGACGAGGUAUCCCAUGCAUGAACUGGAGUUGGGGGUAGUGGUUUUUGCCCUUAAGAUUUGGAAGUAUUAUCUUUAUGGGGUCCGCUGUAUUAUCUAUAUGGACCAUAAGAGUUUGAGACACAUUAUGAAUCAGUUGAACCUGAAUAUGAGGCAACGCAGGUGGCUGGAUGUAGUCAAGGAUUAUGACUGCAAGAUCCUUUACCAUCCGGGUAAAGCGAAUGUGGUGGCGGAUGCUUUGAGCUGCAAGUCAGCUGGACCUUUUGUUGGGAUGUCAUGUAUGAGGAUAUCUAUGGAUUCUUCCCUUGUGGGAUUAAUUAGGGAGGCUCAAGGCGAGGGUGUUCAGGAAGAUAUUUGGAAGAUUGAGAGGAUCAGGGGAGAGAUCACCAGAUUUGUUCAAGAUUGUCGUGGUUUGUUGACCCGUUGUGGUCGGGUUUGGAUUCCCAUGUCUAGUGGGGUCAGACAGAUAGUGUUGGAGGAGGCUCAUAAGUCUCGUUUUUUAUCCAUCCGGGGGCCACCAAGAUGUAUCAGGAUCUGAGAUUGACCUAUUGGUGGUCGUGUAUGAAGAGGGAGAUCACCUGGUACAUUGAGAGGUGCUUGACCUGCAGGAUGGUCAAGGCUGAGCAUCAGAGGCCACAUGGCAAGCUGCAGCCUCUGGAGGUUCCCAUGUGGUAAUGGGAGCAGAUUUCGAUGGAUUUCAUCACCAAGUUGCCGAAGACGGAAAAGGUUUUUGAUGCUAUUUGGGUCACCGUGGAUCAGUUGACCAAGAGAUCCCAUUUCCUGGCGAUCUGGGAGAGUUGUUCGGCCGAGAAGUUAGCCGAAGUGUAUAUUCACGAGAUCCUUGCUCGCCAUGGAGUUCUGGUCUUCAUUGUUUCUGACCGUGAUGUUCGGUUCACCUCCCAUUUUUGGCAAAAGUUCCAUGAGGAACUGGGCAUGAGGUUGCACUUCAACACAACUUAUCAUCUGCAGACCGACAGCCAUAGUGAGCAGGCGAUACAGACUCUUGAGGAUAUGUUGCGAGCCUGUGUCAUUGAUUUUGGUGGGAGCUAGGACUCCUACCUACUGAUAUUGCCAUAUCUAUACACAUUUCUAGGCAAUAUUUUAAUACAUUUUGAUUAAUAUUUUGGUUAUUUGCAUAGAUAUAUGGUACUUAUAAGAUUUAAUUGUAAUGUGCAGCCAAUAAGGAUCAAAAGCGUUAAGGUUUGGAACUUUGGAGGAUUAGAGCUUAAAAGAUGAUUUUUUUCAGCCAAAAGACGACCUCACGACGUGAGGAAUCAUAUCUCACGAUGCGAGUGAUAACUUUCUAGAAGAUAAGCAUCUGGAGGCCAAAAUCCAUGUUCAAUACGGAUUAUGACUGAGCUCACAGCGUGAGGAAUCAUAUCUCCAAAAGUGAGUAGGGUAAUCCUCAAAAUCUAUAUAAAUCCUUGGCACUUACAAAUUUAAAGAGACUUCGGGAGAUUGAAGAGUUUAGAAGACGAUUUAUGGAGGAGUUUAAGGCAGAGAAAUCGAGUAUUAACAUCCAAAGAAGAUGAAGUGAUCAAAAUUUUUUACCUCUAGUUGGUACAUUCAAACAUGUUUUUAUUUAUUGAGUUUGUGUGUUUUAAUUCAGCCAUGAGUAGCUGAAUCUAGCUACUUCUGUUUAGCUAGAUGAAACUUCAACUCAUGGAUUAGUUUGUUAGUUAUGGAUUUUGCUAGUUGGUUAAUUGCUUGUGUUUGAUUAUUAAUACCUAGCAUGCUAAUAUUUGAUACUUAAGUUGCUUGAAAUAAAGUUUCUGUGUAGCUUAGUGAAUAUUAAAUUGCAUGAACUUGACACUUAGGUGCUGUUUGAUUUUCUGAAGCAAAAAUUCAUAAAGUCUGCGGACCACCUCUGUAACCCUCUCCAGUAGAAGUGGUGGACCAAACGACUGCAGACUGUAAUAAGAAGCGCGUUUGUUUUUUUAACAUCUGCAUACUGGUGCAGAUAUUAAAAAAUUAAAAUAAACUAAUUUUAUAAACCGAAAAUAGUUUUUUAUAUAAUACGUAAAAUUUAAUAAUGUAUAACAUUUCGGCAAUAAUUAAUGAUAUUUCAGUAAAAAAUAAUUAUAUUUCAACAAAAAAUAAAGAUAUUUUAGUAAAAAAUAAUGAUAUUUCAUCAAGAAAUUAUCAUUAUUGAAUAUAAAAAGACGAAAAAAAAAUUCAACAAGAAUAAACAAAAAUAAAAAACGAAAUAAAAGGUGAAAUAAAAUUUCAACAACAUAUAAUCAAAAUUUCAACAAGAAAAAGAAGAAGAAGAAGAGGUUGGAAAAUGUUGGAAGAGGCAGUACAAGUGUUGCGCCAAACAGAGCACGUUCAGAGGUUUUUGACUCCGAAGACUUCUAAAAAACAAACAACUGCGAGAUGAAAAGUGUUGCGCGUGUGCUGCACCGCACAACAAUAAGAGGGCUGAAGAGGUUUUUUUCCAAAAAAACAAAUAGCACCUUAGUAAUUUAGUGAUCAUUAGAUUACUAGAGCUAGGAUGAAACCAAUAUUAGAUAAAUAAUUAAAGUUAUUAAAUUUGGCUGUGCUCGAGAACAUAUAUUGUGACUGUAAUUGUGUUUGUUUAAUCAAUCUUACAUAGCUCCAUUCAAUAUUCAUAAUUGAUUAUGUGUCAAAUUAUGUAUGACCAUGCAUAUUUCUACAUGAAUUUGUUAAACAUUAAUAUAUUUGGACUUAAAUUACUAAUAAUAUAAAUAUCAGUAACCAACAUAAAUUAUCUAUAAUUAGUAGCUAACCAUUGAGGAGAAGUGGAUUCAGACGAAACAAGAGUGUUUUAUUAAUUGAUUGAAUUUGAUAAUUAGGUGAUUAAGUUUGUCUGAACUUGUAAAAUCAGAUAAAAACUAUUUGCUUGUUUUAGGUUAUUUUUUAGUAGGUAAAUUAGUUAACUAAAACCGUUACCUGUGAUCGAUACCCGACUGUUUGUACUAUACUAUUUGCGAAAAGAUACACUGCCUUUAGUCGAAUAGCUAGUUAGAUAGUAGGUAAAAUUAGGUGUAGUAAUAUUUUGACAUCAAGUUUUUGGCGCCGUUGCCGGGGAACGGCUAUUUAGCUUAAAAUUUAUUUGCUUUAGAUUAGUAGAUCUUUUUUGUGGCGUAAAACUUGCAAAAAGUUAAAUUCUAGCAUUAGAUUUUUGUUUAGACUAAGCUCACUACGUGAACUCACUAGUUUUACGUUUUUUUUAGAUUUUCUGCGACAACACGAGGUGGUUCUCUUUACCACGUCGUGGAGAACAAUCAGUAGGCAUUUUUAAGCAGUUUUUGUUCGUUUUUACGUUUUUAUUUUUGUUUAUGUUACAGUAGUUCAUGACCCGUGGAUCCAACACACCUUUGAUACCACCGCUUGAAGACCCAGAGUCAACCCUUCAAAAAAAGAUGGAUAAAAACAUAGGAGUUACCAACCCACCAGAGUCAGCCCUUCAGUUUUCGGAAAGAAGAAAGGGAAGAAUGUGGGUGAAUCAAGCAAUUCCUCAAAGAACCAAAGCAAGUUAGAAAGUUUGAACAAAAUCUUAAUCCACAAGAUUCCGAUUACGAGACCAAACCGGAAUUUGAAUUAGAAAGAAGUGAACCUGAAGAGGAGCCGAAAAACAAGAUGGAAAACAUUGUUGAUAUGUCUAUGGAAGAAGAGAAUCCGUGAGGAAACCGGUCCCGGUCUAGUGCAGCCAGCAAUUCCAGCUGCAACAACAUUCGAUAUGAAAGGACACAUUCUGUCCGCGCUUAAGGAAGUUCCAUUUUCCGGGAAAGAUGUUGAGGAUGCUUACAAACACCCUGAUGAAGUCAAUGACAUUGCUGAUUACUUCAACAACCCAAAUGUUCCAUGCACUACAGUUCUACUUAGAAUGCUACCUGUCACUUUCAAAGGGGUUGCAAAGGAAUGGUUGAAGGAACUUCCACCCGGUGUAAUUACUACUUGGGCACAAAUACGUGAGCAAUUUUUAGAACACUUUUUCCUACCUUCAAAAUUUGCUAAACUAAAGAAAGCCAUAGCAAAUUUCGAGAAACAACUGGGCGAGUCACUUUACGAAGCAUGGAAAUGCUACAAAGGAUUGAUAAGAUAUUGUCCCCAAAAUGAUUUGAAUGAGCAACAAGAAGUAUCAAUCUUUUAUGAUGGGGUUAAUGUCAUGAAAAGGCAACUCCUUGAUUCUCAAGGGCCACUAACCAAGAAAAAUCCAACAUAAAUCAAGGAAUGAAUUGAAGAGUUUUCCAAGCAUUCACAUUAAUAUCACAAUCCUAGACAUGAUGGAUCGAAAGGAAUUGGGGGUGACACUUCUGAAGAUAUGGAUGCUGUUUUAGCUAUGCUAAACACUAUGGACCGAAGAAUGACGAAGAUGCACCACUCCAUACAAGCUAUUUGAGUUGGUUAUGAAAGAUGCAAUGGUCCUCAUGUAACCAAAGAUUACCACUUGGAUGAGAACGGGAAUAAGAAGGUUCAAGUCUGUUACUCAAAUGGAGAAAAGUAUGAUGAUGAUUGGAGGAAGCCAAAGAAAGAGUGGUUUCCAUUUGAUGAAUAUAAGAAGAAAAAAGAAGAAAAGUAUAGGCAAACUGUCCGAGGCUUCUACCAAAAAGAGCAACCGCCACCUGAAAAGAAAGUUGAUCUUGAGUCCAUGUUAACCAAAUUCAUGGAGGCUUUGGAGAAAAUACAUGAUUAGACCGAUGCAGUGAUAAGAGACCAUCAAAAUCUCAUGAGGGACCAACAAGCUUUGCUAAGAAAUCAUCAAUCAUCGAUCGAAAACAUCAAAGCUCAACUUGGGCAAUUAACAACUUUGGUUAAUGAAAGAUUAUCUACAAAAAUGUCCGACAAAAAGCCUCAACCGCAAGUAAUGGUGAUUGAUAUUGAAGAAGAUAUCGUCUCUGAAUUCCUUGAAUCCCUUGAAUUCGAGCCACAUCAGCUCGGACCAAAGCCGAAGAAAUCAAAGAUUGAAGAAAAAUUUAGUGCUUAAACAUCGAACCCACGAUGUGAGCAUCAUAAGCCCACGAGGUUGGGUGGGUCUGAUCAGGAAUUUUUUUUUGAUGCUCAAGCUUAUCGUCCUCCUUUUCCGUUUCCGUCUCGAGCAAGAAUUCAUCCAUUGGAGCAUGAACAUUUAAAAUUUAUGAAGCAAGUAAAGGGUAUUCCAUUAAAUACUCCUUUAUCGAUUCAUUGUCCCAAGUUCCUGAAUAUCCUAAGUUUUUGCAAGACUUACUCGAUACCUACCAACAAUUAGCGAAGAAUUCCAAGGUAAUCCUUAGUGAGCAGACUUCUAAGGUGAUAUUGGGAGAAUCACCAAAGAAGAUGGGAGUCCCUGGGCGCCUCACUCUUCCGUGUGAAUUUGGAAAUAACAUAAAGACUUAUGCUCCAACCGAUUCUGGGGCGAGCGUAAAUUUAGUGGCUUACUCAUUCUAUCAAAAGCUAAAUCUUAUGGAUUUAAAGGCUACUAGAAUGACGAUUCACAUGGCUAAUCGUUCAGUGACUCAUCCUCAAGGCACAAUGGAGGAUAUAUUGGUCAAAAUUGGGAAGUUUGUUUUCCCAAUUGAUUUUUCGUUUUGGAUAUGAAAGAAGAUACCAAUAUCCCAAUAAUUCUUGGUCGCCGUUUACUCAAUACUACUAGAGCCUUGGUUGCAUUCGUGAAUCUAAACUUACUUUGAGAGUUGGAGAUGAUGAAGUUACCUUUAGAGUUGAAGAUGGUUUUCAGAAGGAUUGUGCUCAAGGUGAAGUUUUUAACAUAGAUGAAGAAAAUGAACUUGAGGAAUUGAAAAGGAUAACGGAAGAAAUAAUUCAGUUAAUUCAACAAGUCAAACAUAUGAAGCGAAGAACAUCCAUCCCGACAUUUUUUGAAGUAUUUUCUUACAAAACCCCAACAUCUUGGGUGAGUAAGGAGAGUGAAGAAGGCUUAGUAUCGAGUGAUGAGGAAGAGGUUACUUCCAAAGAGAAACGACUAAGUUUGGAAAAGAAUGUGGUACGUAUGGAACUAAAAAGUAAAGAAAAAGCGGGAAAUAAACUUGUGGUAAAUAAAGGAGUAAAGAGAAAUCUUGAAGAGAGUGAUGCUAUGGGUAAAAAGGAAAAUUCUAAAAAAGCUUAUCUUAGAAGAGUUCAAGUAUACAAGAAACGAUGGAAGGUUCAAAAGGUGCAAUUGGUGAGGGAGACUCCUGAAAGUUCAACGUAAGGUGGCAUAGAGUCUGGCUCAUGACUCCAACAAAAAAAGCGUUUCUCGGGAGGCAACCCGAGCUCGGUUUGCAAAUUUUCUUUUCAUUUGUUUGCAUUUUAGUUGAGUUUUAAGAUAUUAAUCAUCAAGUCAUCUAAAUUAUUUUAGAAAACAGUAAAAAUCAAGUACGGGGCUCCUAAAUAUUGAGUGAUAAAUUUUUAUUAAAAAUUUAAGGAAAAAGUGGACUUUUUAUCAUUUUAACCUUGAUAACAUGUCGUGGUCCAAAGCCCACUUCGUGUUAAAUUGAAUUGGCAUGAUAUCUUUAGCCUAGAUGGACACUCAUGACGUGAGCCCUAAAGCUCACGAGCCAAAAUCCUAAAGGUACCAAUAUACCUAGGGCCUAACUUUCUCUGCUUCCUGAACCAGAUGACACCUUUCCAAGGUGACACCUUCAGGAGAACCAUAUCUCCCAUCUGGAACUCCAAGUCUAACUGGCGUCCAUCGGCAUAACUCUUCUGCUGACUCUAAGUUGUCUGGAGCCUUGUCUGAACCUACUGAAUUAGCUCAGUGGUCUUGAGCACCACCUUGGUACUCCCCAUAACUCGCUGACCGAGUUCUCCCCAACAAAUCGGGGUCCUGAAUUUUCUCCCGUAGAGUAUCUUAAAAGGAGGCCGAUCAAUACUAGCAUGAUAACUAUUGUUAUACGAAAAUUAUGCUAACGGAAGAUACAUGUUAACGUUACCAUGAAUGGCCAUGUUAAAUGUAACAGAAUGCAUAAACGAGACGUUAUCUCAUCAAGACCUUGGCCAAGGCCUGGUCUUGGCCAAGGCAGUCCAGCACCAGGGUGGCAAUUCGUUUCCCUCCAUGAGGGAUGAAUAUGCCCCACGAUCUUCUCAUUCACUCACGACCAAUCAAGACAUGACAAGAAGCUUAGGUGACGCACAUAACUGAUGUCACUAGGCAGUUAGUUAACGUGGGCGUGAGCAUCCCAGUCAGAGGAGGUCACGUCUCACACUCAUCGGACGAGGUCCCCAUGAUAUGUUAGAAACACGUAUAAAAGGAUCUCUUCCGCCUCAAGGAAGGGAUCCAUCUUAUCUCUCACGAAUAUUACCCUAAACUUACCUCUCUCAGAAAACUAACUUGAUCGUCGAAGCGACGUCCCUGGAGAACACCCAGACGUCCUUUAACGAUUCUUCUGUGUUGUGUUGUAAGGAAAGCUUCCAGGACAGAUCCAUCACUCAACAUCCAAACCCCUGUAGAGCAUGUCACAACAUUUGGCGCCAUCCGGACGUAUCCUGAGAGUGAUACAACCAAUAAACGAUGCUGGUUCUCCGCAAAAGGGGGAUCUAAACCCAAUAGCAUCUAGGACGGAAGUCAAAGAUCUGUUUAGAAUACCGGUGACGUUAAACAACAAACAUUAUCGCGAGUGUAGAACACAUGCCAUAAUCCAAGUGCUAAUGGCACAGAUCCCGCCGAUUACGGCAGAAAUAGCAGCGCCAGUACUCCAGUGCAGUUUCUAGCAAUUGCCGUCAGAUGUUUCACUGCCUCAGACGUCGAUAUCAUAUCUUGAUCUGUUGUGGACAAAUCCGUAUGAUAGCAAAAAGGUACUCACCGUAUCUAACUCUCUUAAGAGGAGCACACCUCACUAAGCGGAAGACGAGAUCGAGGCACUCUCGAGAAACGUACUCAACAUUAGUUUCUCGAGCAGCGAUCCCAGACCAUCAAACUGGGAUCCGUAAGACCCACUCCUUAUAUCUGGAUUCAUUCUUAACACGAAAGUCCAUCGAAUAUACAUUGACAAUAGUAGUUGCUUCGAUGUACUCUAUGGGCUUUGUUUCCGACAACUACCAGACACGUGGAAGGAGUGGCAAUAGCCCCCAACCGGUGGACCAUUGGUAGGAUUCAUCAGGUAUAGCUUGUGGCCAUUGGGCACUAUUCGGAUGCCCUAAACAUUGGUCAGCCACGACAGGAGGGACCGAAUCACAAGAACAAUCAAAUUCUAUGUGAUCCGGUACCCAACAAAACACAAUAUUCUACUCAGACGAUCGACAAUAUCCUUACCGCACCUCGUACCGUCGACAAUCCAUGACAUCGUUAAAUUUUGCACACGCCAGGGAUUGGCGACAGUCCUCGCCACAAACACCAGGGUACAACAUUGCCACCAGAUCAUAGCUGCCCUAGAGCUUGUGUGAGCACCGAAGAAGUCCAUGGAGGGAUGUUCAACCGAGCAACACCAGAUAAACAUGGAAUAUCCAGAACAACUCGUACGAAUCGGUGCUCACUUAUCAGACAAGACCCGGGCACGACUGGCCGCACUCCGGAAGCAAUACUCCACUGUUUUCUCCUGGAAACCAACAGAUCUGAUAGGCAUUGAUCAACAUGUUAUAGAACACAGUCUUAAUAUCACGCCUGGAAGCAAUCUGGUUAAACAAAAAAAGAGGGGUCAAGCGGCGAUGGACACAUCUUGUAUAGGGCCAGGAAGGGUCCUGCCCCCCCCCCCNCUCCGAAUUUUGGGACAGAAGUAGUCCAAACAAGUUAUUUUUUUUCGAGAUAUAGGCCUAAGAAUAUGUAAAUUAGGCUGUGGCCCCUCCUGUCUAAUUAUGAAUUGUCUGAUGCCAAGAUGUGAACGGUGAAUCGAAUUGAACCCCAAUCCCCAUCUCUGUUAUUCGCUGCUCGCUGCUAAUCAACGACGAACUCACGAACGCCUGCCUCACACCACUCAGUCGUGACGGUAAGUCCAUCCUCCGACCACGAGUCCACCUGCAGACGCAGUCACGCAGGCACGGAACAUACUUGUUCUAUACCAGCAUUUUUCUACUUCUGUUGUUAUUGUUCAAGGAAGAAAAUUAGGUACACGUCUCAAUUCCCACUUUCUUGCCUCCGUUUUUAUCUUCCCUCUUUUCUAAAUUCUAAUUAUGUGUUACAAUAUUUCUAAUUUCUAAUUUCUAAAUUCCCUAUUUGAGUCUCUCUCCAUUUGCUUAAUUGAUGGUUGUUGGAAUUUCACAUAGUUAGUGUGAACUGUGAUUGAUGUCUGAUGAUUUCACAUAUUGUUCCUCCAAAUUGCUUGUUGUUUGUUUAGAAUGAUCUGAGAUUGUUAUGAAUUGGUCCUCCAUUUUCUUGUUGGAAUUUAGGAAUCAAGUAAUUAGACAUUAGUGUGAAGUGUGAACAAACUGUUAAAUGUUUUUUUUAAAGAAAUUUAAGUUGGUUGGCUGAUUUUGAAUGAAUUGUUCAUCCAUUUUGACUUUUUAUAGAUGCAAACAUGGGAAAGAUGAAAACCAUUCAUUAUUUUUUCAAAAGAAUGGGUGAUGAUGAAGAAAUACUUAAUGAAAAUCAAGAGAGUAAAUGUCAAAAAGAUUCAACAAGUGAGCCACAACCACAAGAACAUGGAAAUCAAAAACAAGAGAAUGACAUUUCUAAAGCCACAAAAUCAAAUCCUAAUGAGGUGGAUCUUAAGUAAAUAGAAAGAGAUCAUGCUAAAUGAAAACAAAUAUGGGAUUAUCCGGUUAAUCUAAGAGAAGAAGUAAGAUGAGCUUAUAUGACUUUAGGACCUUUCCAAAUACGUCUUAAGGAGUAUCAUGGUAAAGUUUCAAGGAAACAUUCUCGUAUAUUCCAAUAUUCUUGGUUCAACGUUUUCCCUAAUUGGUUAGAAUAUUCUCCAACAACACACUCAUCUUAUUAUUUUAUUUCUUAUAUAUUUCACGAUAAACCAAGUGUGGGUCAUGGUUACGAUGCAUUUACUGUUAAAGGAUUUGACAAUUGGAAAAAAGUUAAUGAUGGGAAAAAUUGUGCAUUCUUGAAGCACAUUGGUUGUUCACAACAUAGAAAUGCAGUUGCAUUCGCUAAAAACUUGAUGAACCAAGAAGCACACAUUGAAAAUAUCAUAGUGAAGCAAAAUGAAGCACAAUAUUGUAGAAUCGUUUAUGAUCAAAAAGCUUCGAUUGACACAGUUCGUUGGUUGACAUUCCACGCUUGUGCUUUACGAGGAAAUGAUGAAAGUUAUAAUUCCAAAAAUCGUGGUAAUAUUCUCCAGCUAUUAAAACUUCUAUUAUCUUAUAAUGAUGAAGUUGCAAAUGUUAUAUUAGAGAAAGAUCCUUAUAAUUCAAAGUAUACUUAUGGAGAAAUUCAAAUAGAAAUCCUUAGUAUUAUUGCAAAUAAAUUCCGAAAGCAUAUUCGUAGUAAAGUGGGGGAUUCAUUGUCUCACCCCCAGACCAGACGACGGAAAGUCCGGAGGUAGGUGACUUCAUUGUGCAGUAUCAUAACAAUUGAAUAUAAAUGAAACAUAGCAAAUCCAAACAUCAUACAUUGAGAUAACAAACUUAUAUUGUUUACAUAUUGUAUUUGUUCUUCAAAUUACACAAAAGAGACAUAAGUAAAUAAAUUUCAAACUACAGCAAAAUUAUCCUGAAUCUGCGUCCCUUUAACCUACUUACUGAUUUCCUGAGAAUACAAAUCGUUUGAAAAGCGUCAACAUAAAAUAUGUUGGUGAGUUCGUAGGCAUUUUUGUAUAAGAAUUUGUGAUAGUUUCGAAAUCCAGAAAAUUUCGGUGUUUUUUUGUCAAAACAGAUGUAAGUCUUGUUUUCCUUCUGGUAUAGUUUCAUGUGUGUGUUCUAGUUUAUCGUUUUCGAAAUCGUAUAAAAUCAUUUCCUCCAGAAAAUCCCAUAUUUUCUUAUAUAAAAUAAUUGUGAGUUUUGUUUCCAAUUGAGUAUAGUUACAUGCGCGUGUGUAUUAGUUUAUCGUUUUUGAAAUCGUAUAUGAUCGUUUCCUCUAGAAAAUCCUAUAUUUUCUUAUAUAAAAUAAUCGUGAGUUCUGUUUCAAUUGAGUAGAGUUACAUGCGUGUGUGUAUUAGUUUAUCAUUUUCAAAAUCGUAUAUAACCGUUUCCUCCAAAAAUCCUAUAUUUUCUUAUAUAAAAAUUGGUGGUCUUAAAACCCUAAGACUAGUGAGGUGAGAGAAAUCAACAGGCAGUUGUGGAAAUUCCGCACAACACAAGUGGAUGAUCAACACAACGAAUGUGGACAAUCACUAACAUGCAUGGAGGCGGUCAUCACAACGUGCCAAUUCAUUUGGAAGGUUUUCCUUACACAAAUUUCUAAAUAACAUUACCAUAUUCUAGUGAGCCGUUAUAACCAUACUAAUAUGACGGAGGCCUAUCUUGGCGUUUCUUAGGCGCCCAAAUAGAUUAAAGACAUUUGUCACCCUAGACUGGCCGGUCUAGCUGUAGCGAACAACGAAGGUGCGGCGUGUCAACCCCGUAUAAAUCUAUACACAAAUUCCCACUCUCCCUACAGGAGACUCUGGUUACAACUCUUUAUAGGACUUUAAACGUACACUAAUAUGUUUAUCUAUUUAGGUACUGAGGAGACUCAUCUGACUAGAAUACCAACAGAUAGGUGUACUAACAGGUGAAAAUCCGUUAUUUAAUAAAUAACAAUAAUUGAGCUCAUUGACUAGGCAUAUCGCUUUAUUGUUUUUAUUGAGAACUAAUCCAUAUUGAAUCAUAUUUACAAAAGAAUUGAUCCAAUAUUAUCAAUAUUGGCAAAAAUGGCCAUUCUUUUUCUAAAUUUAUCAAAUAAGAUCCACAUUUGUCAAAAGGUGUCAUAAGUGGCCCAACACUUUGUGAAUUAUUAUAAAUAGCCCAUUUCUUUUAAAAUACUCAUCUUAGGCUUAUAAUUGAUAAAACAUUCAAAAAGGCCCUUGUUUAUCCAAAAAUUUCAUUUUUGGUCUUUUGAGAUUGAGAUGUUCAAUAAUUACUUCAAUUUUAUUCCAUUUUCCAAAAUGGUCCUUAUAUAUAUAUAUAUAUANNNNNNNNNNNNNNNNNNNNNNNNNNNNNNNNNNNNNNNNNNNNNNNNNNNNNNNNNNNNNNNNNNNNNNNNNNNNNNNNNNNNNNNNNNNNNNNNNNNNNNNNNNNNNNNNNNNNNNNNNNNNNNNNNNNNNNNNNNNNNNNNNNNNNNNNNNNNNNNNNNNNNNNNNNNNNNNNNNNNNNNNNNNNNNNNNNNNNNNNNNNNNNNNNNNNNNNNNNNNNNNNNNNNNNNNNNNNNNNNNNNNNNNNNNNNNNNNNNNNNNNNNNNNNNNNNNNNNNNNNNNNNNNNNNNNNNNNNNNNNNNNNNNNNNNNNNNNNNNNNNNNNNNNNNNNNNNNNNNNNNNNNNNNNNNNNNNNNNNNNNNNNNNNNNNNNNNNNNUCAAAACCUUGAGACUUACUAAGAAUCUCGAGUUCUUGAACCAUUAUGUGGAGUUCAUAACUUUAAGCAUAUAUAUCAUAACAUACAUGCAUAAACAAGAAAAUAUGCUAAGAUUUCACAAGACCCUUGACUUGUAUUCUCCCCCAAAAACAAAGAAAACUCAAAAGAUCGGGGUAUGAAGCUCACCUUGAGUUGGUUGAUAAGUUGGUUGGAAUGAUGGGGUGAAAAUCUCUAGCUUAAACACUUGGAUGAAUUGAGGAACUUCCUUGGAAGGAAAGUUAUCCUAAGAGUUUUUCUCACAUAUCAUUAUGGGUAAAAAUGAUGUGAAUCUAUCUGGAAAAUUAUAUAAAUUACUAGAUGAGUGGAAGAACUUACUUAAAAAUUCUAAGGAGAACUUGAAAAUGUUAGCCUUUAGCAAGAUCCUUGUUCUUGCUCUUGAGAGAAGUAUUAAGAGAAUAUGAGAGAAAUGGUGAAGUUUAAAAUUCUCUCUUAUGUCAUUACUUUAAGGGGAUAAAAAAGGGAAAUUUGUGCAUGGAAGUCUAUUGGUUCAAACAUUGUUAUUUGGUGGAUAUUGCAUGGGUUACUGUGAUUUGUAUGGGGAAUAGGAAUUACAUCAAAUCACAAAGUCAAACCUUCUUAUCCUUAUCUUAUUCUCAUCAUGGCUUAAAAUAAUAACAUUUUUAUAAAUCAUAGUUAUUAUUUUAAAUGAUCAAAUUUGGCUUAGAAUGAGGGUUUAAGGGGUCUAAGUUAGGAAAAAUACGAGUUUAGUUGGAUCCUCGACCUCAAAAUGGUGAAAUGGUCUGAAGUGGUCCAAAAUCCGGAGCCAAAUGGUGAAUUCCGGAGUCAAAUAGUGAAUUCUGGAGUCCAACCAAUUGUUCUGAAGCUCUUCUCAAGUUUCGGAGUAGAGUUCCAGGGUCAAUCCUCAAGUUCCGGAGUCAAGGCAAGAGUUCCAAAGUCGAGUUUGCGAAGUCAGCUCAUCCAGAUUCAUUUCCUUUCCGAGGCUGAGAGAGCUUCCGGAGUCAGCAGUUCUGGAUCAACAGGCCGUCUAGAGCGAGAUUGUCCGGGGCAUGCUAAGUUCGGAAGCACAAUAGUUCUGGGGCGAGAUUGCUCGGCUCUUGAGGUGGUACGAAGUGCGAAGUUGUCCGCUGCGGUUAGGAGGUUCUGAUCUGGACUUGCUCCUUAAAGUUUCUCCUUUCAUUUUGAGUUGGUUUUGACAAAGGAAACUACCUUGGGGGAUUUGGGAGAGAUUUGAGGUAUAUAGAGAGAUUUGAUAUACAUGGAGAGAUUUGGGAGAGAUUUGUGGUACAUAUAUGUUUUGAAUUAUUACAAUACAUGGCUCAUUAGCAAGCAUAAUGAAAACUUUAAUGUGUUAGAACAAGUCUUACAAUAGUUGAUACUUACAUGAGAACAUAAUUUCCUGGCUAAAAAUGCUAGUUGUUACAUUCAUACUUUUGUGUCAUGGUUGAUGUGUCACGGGAUGAGUCUAAAAAAGAGAAAAUGGCCAUAGUUUUAAGAUUUGUUGAUGUCGAAGGGAUCAUAAGGGAAAGGUUCUUGGAUUUGGUUCAUGUUAUGGAUACCUUAUCAUUAACCUUGUAAACAAAUAUGCGGAGCCAACUUUUACACUAUCAGUUUGAUGUUAGUAAAAUCCGUGGCCAAGGGUAUGAUGGUCCUAGUAAUAUGAGAAGGGAAUGGAACGGAUUACAUGCACAUGUUCUUAAAGAUUGUCCUUAUGCGUAUUAUGUUCACUGCUUUGCUCAUAGAUUACAACUAGCACUGAUGGCUGCUUCAAGAGAAAUUAUUCCUGUACACCAAUUUUUUUAAAACUUAAUUUUUACAAUUAAUUUGGUUUGUGCUUCUAGUAAGCGUCAUGAUGAGUUGCAAAAGGAAAAGGCAACUAAGAUUGAACAUUUAUUGGAACUUGGUGAAAUUGAAUCCAAAAAAGUCUUGAAUCAAGUUGGGACAUUAAGAAGAGCUGGUGAUACACGUUGGGGUUCUCAUUUCCGUUCCAUUAGUAGUUUGCUUAGCAUGUUUGAUUAUACUCGUGUUGUGCUCCAAGGAAUAAUUGAAGAUGUAUCUGCUACCUAUUCUCACCGCGGAGAUGCUGAUGCAGCUUAUUGUUACUUGAAAUCAUUUGAGUCUGUGUUUAUUCUUCACUUGAUCAAGGAACUAAUGGGAAAAACUGAUAUACUUUCUCAAGCUCUACAAAAGAAAUCCCAGGAUAUUCUUAAUGCCAUGGAGUUAGUUUCAGCAAAAACGGAGGGUCUAAAUGAUUUCAGAAACAAUGGAUGUGAUUCUUUACUCGCACAGGUACAAUUGUUUUGUAAGAAACAUCAAAUAGAUAUGCCAAAUAUGAAUGCUCCAUAACUUCUACGCGAUACGAGCCUCGAAAAACAGAUAAUCAUGUUCUUUUUGAAGAUUUUUAUCGAGUAGAUUUGUUUACAUUCAUAUUGGACAAGCACUUACAUGAGUUGAAUAGUAGAUUCAAUGAUCAAGCAAUGGAGUUGUUACGUCUUAGUUCUACUUUAGUUUCAAAAGAACACCAUAAAAUGAUUAACAUUGAUUAGAUUUGUAUUCUUGUUGAGAAGUAUUAUACUGAAGAUUUUACGGAGCAAGAGAGAAUUCAAUUACGAUACCAGUUGGAGAUUUUUAAUAUCGAUAUGAAAAAGAAUCCCAAGUUAAGUGGUGUAUCAACUAUUGCUGACCUAUGCAAAGGGUCUUAUGGAAACUCAGAAACGUGAGAUGUAUUAUUUGCUUGAUAGAGUGGUUCGGUUAAUCUUGACACUUCCAGUUUAUACCUCAACAACAGAGAGGGGAUUUUCUGCAAUGAAAAUAUUCAAGAACCGUCUUCGCAAUAAGAUGUCAGAUGACUUUCUCACAAACAAUUUGGUGGUUUACAUAGAAAGGGAAAUUGCUGAAAACAUUGAUUUUAAAGACCUUAAAGGUUGGUGGGUUGAGUUGUAAUUCUUAUUCUAGGUAUUUUGGUGUUUAAUUGCUGAAAAAAUUGAUUUUUUUUAUGUUUAAAAACGAUAAUUUUAGGUAUUUUGGUGUUUAAAGGCUGGAAAAAUUGGUUUUUUUUUAUGUGUAAACCUGUUAAUUUUAGUUUCUUUUAAUUUUGCCCCCCCCCCCACAAAAAAAAAACUAUAUGUUCAACCUCCGUCACUGCAGGCGACAAAACAGAACAAGGCCAUAAACGCAGAGGUGACCGAUCUGGUAAACGCCGACAUCCUCAGGUAAGUAAUGUUCCCAACAUGGAUCAAAAAUCAUGUCAUGGUAAAGAAAGCCAAUGGGCCAUGUCGAAUGUGCAUUGAUUACUCGGACCUUAACAACGUCUGUGCAAAGGAUUGUUAUCCUCUCCCGAAGAUUGAUCAGAAGGUCCAAUCGCUUGAAGGCUUUCAGGUCAAAUUCUUCCUUGACGCGUACAAGGGCUACCAUCAAGUACAGAUGAAACGAGAGGACGAAGCGAAAACCGCCUUCCAAACCGAAAGGGCACAUUCUGCUACCAGGAAAUACUGUUUGGACUAAAAAAUGCUGGUGUGACUUAUCAAAGGCUCAUGGACAAAGUAUUCACCAAUCAAAUUGGUAGGAAUAUCGAAGUAUAUGUCGAUGAAAUUGUAGUUAAGAGCCACAAUAAAGAGGCAUUACUCCACGAUGUGGAAAAACUUUCCAAAUGAUAGCCAAAAAAAGAUGAAGUUAAAACCAACCAAGUGUACUUUUGGAGUAGAGGAAGGGCAAUUCCUUGGCUAUUAGAUAUCCAAGGAAGGAAUUCUGCCCAAUCCCACCAAAAUCCAGGAGUUCCUCGAGUCCUCACAACCUCAAGGGUGUGCAGGAGAUCAACGACAUGUUAACAACAUUGGGAAGAUUCAUAGCCAAAUCUGCAAAAAAGUGCCCCCUGUACCAAACACUUAAAGGGUGCAUAGACAAAAAGCAGUUCAAGUGGACAGAAAAAGCGAAUGUGACAUUGAAACAACUAAAAGAUGCACUACACCAAUUAUCGGUUCUCGCUUGCCCAUUACCAGGGGCAACACUAUAGAUGUAUCUAGCAGCUUCCGAAGAAGCCAUCUCCUCAGUGUUAGUGGUCGAGAGGGAAGGAAAGCAGGUUCCCAUCCAUUUUGUUAGCAGGGCCCUACAAGGUCCAUUACCCGACCUUAGAAAAACUAGUCCUCACCCCGGUAUACGUUGUUAGACGGCUACGAAGGUAUUUUCAAGACCACAAGGUGGAUGUUUGGAUUAGUUAUCCAAUAAAGCAAGUGUUGCUAAGGCUGGAAAAGUCCGGUCGCCUGGCCAAGUGGGCCAUAGAAUUAGGCGAACAUGAUAUCCAUUACUACCCCCGGACAAGCAUCAAGGCACAGGCCCUCGCAGACUUCCUGGUUGAAAUUCCAGAUACCAUUAAGGGAGUGCCAACGAUGAUCUAGCAAAGAACUCUAGAAGCUAUACACCGAUGGCACAACAAGCAGGGAAGGUUAAAGCACAUUCCUGAUCCUACAAAACCCCAAGGGUGAAGAGAUCACUUACGUGUUGCGGUUCGACUUCCAAGUAUCGAACAACGAGGCAGAGUACGAAGCACUCUUAGCAGGUCCAAGGCUACCCAAGGAGGUCCGUGCAAAACAACUAGCGGCCCUCAGUGAUUCUUUAUUCGUCAUAAACCAAAUAAAUGGAACAUAUGAGUCAAAGGACCUCAAGAUGCAGAAAUACCUAGAUCCAGUUCAUAGCUUAUCCAGCACAUUCAAAAUCUUUUCAAUAAAACAAAUAUCCCGAGGAAAAAAAUGCAAGGACAGAUGCUCUCAGCAAAUUGGCCUCUACUUCAUAUGAUCACCUCACAAAGAAAGUGUUAUUUGAAGUACUCCCAGAGAGAAGUAUCGAUAACCAUAAGGUUAAUACAAUAUUGGAUCCUCCAGAAUGGACCAAACCCUAUGUCGAUUACUUGUGCCAUGGCGUGAUCCCGGACGACCCAGAGGAGGCGAGAAAGGUCAAAAUCAGAGCACCUCAUUUUACAAUAAAGGACAACCAACUGUGCCGAAGAGGAUAUUUAAGCUCAUGGCUCAAGUGCAUCUCUAAAACAGAGGGGCAAACGUUCCUCGAAGAAAGACAUUUCGGGGACAUAGCAGCACAUGAAAGUGCUCACGCACUCACAGGCAAUACACUUCGCCUAGGGGUAUAUUGGCUAGACGUGUACAACAAUGUCGUAGCCCUAACCAAGAAAUGAAAAGAGUGCCAAGCAUUCGCUCCCUUCCAAAAGCAACCAGACAUACCAUUAAGUAGCAUCACCAACCCAUGGUCCUUCCAUCAAUGGGGGACCGAUAUAGUGGGACCUUUCCCACCGGCACCGGGGGGCGUGAAGUUUUUGCUGAUAGUCGUCGAUUAUUUUACCAAAUAGGUUGAGGCGGAACCACUGGCCACCUUCACUGACAAGCAGAUGAUAAAAUUUAUGUCCAAGAACAUCUUGGACCACUUUGGAACUCCUAGGAUCCUCAUAAGUGCCAACGACACCCAUUUUGAAGGAAGUCCCUUCAAGGAGUGGUGUGAAGACAAGAAAAUCCAUCGUCGGUUCACAUCAGUAGCGCAUCCUCAGGCCAACGGACAAACUGAGAUAUCAAAAAAAACCAUAGUCAAUGGUUUGAAGAAAAGGUUACUCAGAUCAAAGUCUACCUGGGUGGAUGAACUCCCGAUCAUGCUGUGGUAAUAUCGUACCACAACAAGGUCAGUACAUGAGAAACCCCAUUUAGCCUAACUUAUGGGAUAGAAGCAGUCCUCCCCUUGGAAAUAGUGGAAGGCUCCUUGUGAACAAAGAGUCUCGAGGAAACAACCAACGAAGAAGAGCGACGCCAAGACCUAGACAUGCUCGAUGAAAAAUGUGAGAACUAUUACAAACGCCAUGUCCGGGUCAAGAACAUCAAAGUUGGAGAAUGGGUGCUAAGAAAGAACGAUUCUAGCCACACUGAACCAUUAGGGAAACUUAUUGUCACGUGGGAAGGACCAUACAAAAUCGUGGAAGCCCAUAAGAAUGGUGCUUAUCUCCUAGAAGCUUAGGACGAGCGUGCCAUUCAAAGAACGUGGGAUGCAUAGAGUCGGCAUCACUUUUACUGUUAAAACGAGUGUUAAAGGUAGAUUCAAUGCUAGCAAAAGCAUUGUGUAUUAGUUUUAAUAUGUAAAUGUAAUCAACAAGAAUUACUUUACUACUUUCAGUCUUAUUACACUCUAAACAAAACUAGAGUAAACAGAAAGGGCAAUUCAGAUGCUCCUUAUUUUCAAGCUUGAAAAAUAAAACAAAGAGGCGGUGUACAUUUACCGUGUGACAAUAAGGAUUGAUCAUCCAAUGUCACACGAGCGAAAUCGUUACAAGGAGGCAGCCAGAGAGUUUGCAUAAAAAAGGCUCAUAACCUUUCUCCCAAAACAUGUUCAUCAAUCACAUCAUAGAAAACAUACAAAAUAACAUGUGACAUGAGUGUAGAAGACUCAUAACCUAACAUUAACAAGAAAAGCAUAAUCGGGUGAGCCUCAAGAUGACGAUCUUGGCUACACAUAUGGUCUUUAAGCAGAAAAUUAGAACAAAUUUCUCAAAGACUAGCUUUAGUAAGGCAUAAAGAGUUCAACAAUAAAGGAACUCAAACUAGGGGUAUAAGAAAGCCCUGCGUAAAUACCGUGUGAUGGCCAACAUAAACCAUACAUGAAGCAACCAAACAACAAGAAUAUAUGCGGUAGUGAAAAACAUUCAUGCCCAAUAACCAAAUGUAGAAAUUGUCAGAUUACCGGACUCCCGGAAUUUCAGGCUGCCUUUGAGCACAACAAAGACAAAAAAAAAGACAAAAAAAUUGUUCACUGAAAUUACAUCACAACAAAUCAAAUAAAUAGACGCUACUUGUGGGCAAAGGUGUUACCAUCACCGGGUGAAGAACUUGAGCCAGGGCCAGACCCAUUGCUCUAAGCAUCUUGACAAAGAUCGCAGAGCCUGACCAUGUCCAGACUGCCCAGGCGGAGAUAGCUAGCGAAAUAUAUUUCAGUAAAAGCCACCAUGACAUCUUCCAUCUAUUGGGUCUUAGUGGCCACAUAUACCUCAACCUACGGAUUAAACUCCCCGACAAUCACCAACUCUUUCACAACUCUUUUUCCCGAAUCCACCUCUGCCGCCACACAAGCCACCCGCACCUGAACCAAGCCUUGGAGAAACUAAGGGCUCUUGAUCACCCUGUCCACCUUCUGGCUGAGCCCGUCGCUAAGGAUCCACGAAACAUCCUUCUCUGCUCACUUUGCAGUGUUUUCAGCAACUAGAUCAACCUCUAGUUUUGCCGUCUGCUCGCUCAAACCAGGAUUCUCCAGACUCAGGGACACCACACAAUCAUUCAGGUGCCUCACCUCUUCCUCCAACUUUGCCACUUGCUCUUUUAAGUUUUCCUUCUCGAGAAGUCCCGCAUCCUGCUUGGCCUCCCAGCUACGCUUGUCAUCUUCUAUCUUGGCCACCUAGGCUUUCAGCUCUUCACAUUCAAUUCUCUUCCUGCCAGAAUCAGACUUGAUGGUAUCCAUCUCGGAGAUACGUUCAACAACUGCGACCAAGUAAGAUGACACUUGGGCGACGGUGUAACGCAGGCCGUUGGCCAACUGCUCAUCUGACAAGACAAUUAAGGCCUCAGUUGUAGUAAGAGGAAAAGCAUGCCGACACCACUCAAGAGCGGUGUUGUGGUUGGAGACAAGGUCCUAGGAAGUUAGCCUCUAAGUUGGCUUGUAGGCAUCCAGAUGAGAACCCACAAGAAGGGGGAUGGUUUCGGUUUUACCAGAAGAGCUUGAUGUGAGACCUUGGGAAGGAAAAGAUCCAGUCUUCACCUCAGCCCUGUAGUUAUGGGAACAGGGCUGGUCUUGUUAGUGUUUUCUUCUCUUGCAUGACAGGGCAGUUCAAUCGCCCUAAUUUGUACCCUAUCCAGCAGUUUCAGAGGACUUUCAUUAGGGGCACGGUUGGAAUCAUUGAUACCCCUAGUAAGAAACUCAGAUUAGGUUUCUUACGAAGAGGGGGCCCAGUGCUGGCCGUCUCAGCUCGACCACCGGAGGAGGCUUCCAAGAAAGCAAAACGCCUCUUGACACGACGAAGACUCCUCGGGGACCCAGAAGGUGUAGGAUCCUUUUGAGAAACACCAGUGACAAUAAUGUCCUGUAGAUCCGGAUCCUCACCGACGCCAGUAACACUGUCAGAACCGAAAGUAGCCUCGAUUCCUCGGCCACAAACAAAGGGUAGAAGAGCCUCCACAAGAUCGACGUCAUGUCACUGAAGCUCACCAUCGGACAUACCUUGAAGAGCUUUCUCUAAAGAAACAACCUCCUCCACACUUGGCAACAAAACCAAAGAUAACGAUGAUUAAACAGAAUGCUGAUUUAAACGUGCUUUGCUGAUUUUUUUUAAAAAGGUGGGGGAAUAGGAGCAAGAGAAAUACCCUCUUUCUCAAUGAAAAACUCAGGAAUUUUUCCGCCAUCCCUCUAAGCAACGCUCAUUCCACCAACGGCCAAGAAGCAGUCAAUAACCAAAAAGUUCCAACGAAAAACCGUUGAUGCUCAUCUUCUCUAGGACAUCAACCAGUUCCUUGUCAGCACCAAAAAGUGUCGGAGCACGGUUGACGUACACCUUAGCCCUCGGGUAACUGAGGAACACGAGAUCACCGUUCACCCAUAAGAACUUCUCCUACCAGUUCUUCUUGGACUUCUUAUCGUGGAUAUGAGUAGGGACUCCCCGUCGCUGAGAAAGGGUUCGAGUCUCCAAUUGAGUAGACGCAUUGAAUAAGUGCUUCAAAGCCGGAAUAGUCAGCAGACAGCCUAGGGAACGACAUAGGAGUUCAAAACCAACUAUCUUUUUUAUAGCGAUAGGGGUCAGCUCUCUCAUGGAAAACCCGUAUUUGCGGAUGAUUUGGUUGAAGAAAUUUAUGGUAGGCAAGCGCAGACUCGCCUCGAACAAGGCGAUUGGGAUGCCAAAUUUUCUCUCGGGAGGAUUGUAAAGUGAUGCAUAUGGUAGCGGGAUUUACACUCCGUGUUCGGGAACGAACCCAAACCAGAAAUUGAAAAAUUCCCAUUCUUCAGUGGUAAGAUCCCUUCCCAAAGAACGAGUAGCGGCCAUGGAAAAAUGUGAAGAAAGGGUUGAAAGGAUUUUCUUAGAAACAAGAAGUUGAAUAGAAAAAAGUAGAAGGUAAGGAGGAAGCGCUAGGAGGAACAGAGGUUUAAAUGCCACAAAAAGGGGCAGCGGACCAUCUUCAUGAUGAAAUCGCCGAUCAACGGUGAUUUCGCCCUGCCAACUGCAUAAGCUAUCAAUAGCUGCCCGCCACGUGUCUGAGAGUAGACCAGAACAACUCUGCUACGUCACAAUUGCAGAGGUCUACUAGUCUAAGGGACUUGUUAACGUUAUCAUGAAUGGCCACGUUAAAUGUAAUGGAAAGCAUAAACGAGACGUUAUCUUGUCAGGACCUUGGCCUAGGCGGUCCAACACUGGGGUGGCUGUUCAUUUCCCUCCACGAGGGACGAAUAUCCCUUGUGAUCUUCUCAUUCAAUCACGACCAAUCACGACGUGGGAAGAAGCUUAGGUGACACCCAUAACUGGCAUCACUAGGCAGUUAGUUAACAUGGGAGUGAUCCUCCCAGUCAGAGGAGGCCACAUCUCACACUCAUCAGACGAGGUCACCAUAAUCCAUUAGAAACAGGUAUAAAAGGAUCUCUUCUGCCUCAAUGAAGGGAUCCAUCUUCUCUCUCACGAAUAUUACCCUAAAAUUACCUUUCUUAGAAAACUAACUUGAUCAUCGGAGCGACGUCCCGGGAGAACACCCGGACUUCCUUUAACGAUUCUUCUGUGUUGUGUUUUCAGGAGAGUUUCCAGGAUAGAUCCAUCAUCCAACAUCCAAACCCCUGUAGAGCAUGUUACAACAAUAUGUAUGCCAACUCCCACAAAAAUCCAACAUGCACGCACGCAACAUAUCUUCAAGAGUCUGAAUACUCCACUCACUCUGAACAUCGGUCUGCGAAUGAAAUGUUGUACUAAAAAGAAGACGCAUGUCCAUCUUGUCAUGAAACACUUCCAAAAUCUGGAUGUAAAACGAUCAUCCCUGUCUGAAACCACUGAUACCGACACCCAAUGAUGUGCCACUACCUCCCAGACAUAAAUCUCAGCCAACUUCUCUGCAGAUAUACUCUCCUAGAUCAGAAUAAAUACGUGCUCAUGGUCAAACGAUCCACGAUGACACAGAUAGAAUCUACUCCGCACGGAUUCUUGGGAAGCUUCAUGAUAAAGUCUAUAGCGAUCUCUUCCCAUUUCCAUAUGGGAAUCUCCAAUGGAUGCAUCUUGUUGUGAGGACACUGAUGCUCGGCCUUGACUUUCUUUCAAUUCGGGCAUUGCUCAACAUACCAUGCCACAUCCCGCUUCAUGUAGGGUCACCAAUAGUCAGGACGAAGAUCUCUAUACAUCGUCUUCGCCCCAGGAUGAAUGGAGAACCUCAACUUGUGGGCCUCCUCCAUAAGAACAUGGUGCACACCGCCCAAAUAAGGUACCCGGAAUCGCUGAUGCAGAGUCAACAAUCCGUGACUAUAAUAAUCAAAGGAAGCCACCAGACCUACAAUGCACUUACUCUUUUGGUGCUCUUGCUUCAUAGCUUAUGCUUGAGCCUCAAGAAUCCGCUCCAACAGUGGAGUAAUCACGGUCAUCCUCAAACAUAUAUUUCUGAUCAGAGCUAAGACCGUUUUGCGGUUGAGAAUAUUGGCCACCACAUUGGCCUUCCCAGGGAGAUAAAGUAUCUCACAAUGAUAAUCCUUCACCACAUCCAACCAACGACGCUGCCUCAUGUUCAGAUUUGGCUAAUCCAUUAAAUACCUCAAACUCUUAUGGUAUGUGUAGAUGGUGCAACGAACCCCAUAGAAGUAAUGCUGCCAAAUCUUGAGGACAAAAACCACGACCCCCAACUCCAAAUCGUGCAUCGGAUAAUUCGCCUCAUGAGGCUUCAGCUGCCUUGAAGCGUAAGCAAUCACAUGACCACGCUGCAUCAAUACUGCCCCCAAACUGGAUAUCAAAGCAUCACAAUAGACCACAAAGUCAUCAACACCCUCAUGCAAGGUCAGAAUCGGCACCUUACACAACCAUUGUCUAAGAGUCUCAAAAGUUGCUUGCUGCUCAGACCCCCAACGAAAUGUCACAAAAUUCUUUGUCAUUCAGGUCAAUGGAACAACGAUAUUAGAGACAUCCUCGAUGAAUCUCCGAUAAUAACCAUCUAAACCGAGAAAGCUCCGAAUAUUAGAUGGAGACCUCGGAACCUCCCUUUGCAUCACGGCCUCGACCUUGAUCGGAUCGACCAGAAAACCCUUCUGGUUGACAAGGUGCCCCAGAAACUGCACCUCACGCAACCAUAACAUGCACUUGGAGAACUUUGCGAAAAGUCUCUCCCUCCUCAACGUCUCCAACACUUCCCUCAAGUGCUCCUCAUGUUGCUCCUGAGUCUUGGAAUAAACCAAUAUGUCAUCAAUAAAUACUAUCACAGACCAAUCCAACAUCGGUCUGCACACGCUGUUCAUGAGAUCCAUGAACGUGACCGGAGCAUUGGUGAGCCGAAAAGGCAUCACCAUGAACUCAUAAUGACCAUAUCGAGUCCGAAAAGCUAUAUUCUACACAUCCUCAUCCCUGACCCUCAUCUGAUGAUAACCCAAUCUCAAAUCAAUCUUAUAGAACAAAGAAGCACCCUAAAGCUAUUCGAAAAGAUCAUCAAUCCUUGGGAGGGGAUAAAGGUUCUUCAGGGUUACCUUAUUCAACUCCCGGUAGUCGAUACACAUGCGAUGAGACACAUCCUUCCUCUUCAAAAAUAGAAUUGGUGCUCCCUAAGGCGAACCGCUUGGUCUAAUAAAUCCCUUGUCUAACUGCUCUUGCAGCUGUGUACACAACUCUUGCAUCUCGGGAAGAGCCAACAAAUACAGUGCUUUGGCUAUUGGAGACACACGUGGAGCCAAAUUAAUCCUGAACUCCACCUGCCUCUCUGGAGAUACCCCAGGAAAAUCCUCUGGGAAUACAUCUGGGUAAUCUUGCACAUUUGGCACAUCAUCUACGGUCGCCGUACCCUUAACCCGGGUAUCCAUGACAUAAGCGAAGAAACCUGAACAACCCUGCAGAAGAUAGCGUCUGGCCAUCGUUGCAGAACACAUAACCGGCCCAUGAUGUGGUCUCUCACCUUGAAUCACCAACUCUCCCCCACUUGGGGUCCGAACCUGAACUAACUACUACUUACAGUCGAUCACUGCCCCAUCAAGGCUCAACCAAUCCAUUCCCACGAUAACGUUGUUCCCACAUAGAGGAAUGGGAACCGGAUCAACCAAAUACUACUCGUUGAAUAACUAGAGAAUACUACCUCGAUGAACCCUCGCAACCCGAAUAGACCUAUCAUCCGUAAUCUCAACAUCUAGAGGACAAUCUAGCUCCCUUGAGCUCCAUCAAAUCUCUUGCUAAGCGCAAGAGAUACAAAUGAUCGGGUAGCCCCCAAAUCAAAUAAAACCAUAACAGAGAUACCAUUCACAAGGAACGGUCCUAAAAUAAGACACAUAAACAUAAGCAAAUAAUUCAAUAUAAAUAAAGAGAUAAAGAGAAGAUACAUACCCAUCACAACUUUAAGAGCUGCACACACCUCCACUACCGUCAGCUGCAAAGCCCUGCUCUUCAGCACAAGCGGAUCUGCCUAUCCCUGACAGCUGUUAGUAAUCCGAAGAGUCGCAGGAGCGGGUGCGGACACCAUUCUUGUUGCAGUCAAACUCGGAUAUUAGGCUUCUUAUGGCCCCUGUAAUUGCAAUGAAAGAAAAUUAGAUCUGAUACCUGGGUGGUGGUAGCAGUACAAUCCCUGCUAUAAUGACCAGUCCGGCCGCACUUGAAGCAGCCAUAACCACCACCACUACCACUAUUUCAUGAACCCUCGUGCGUCGUGCCGCACUUGCCAUAAUGGCUACGACCCUGAUGGCCCCUUGAUCUGGAAUCCGAUACCUUGGGCCUCUUCACCGAACCUGUUGAUGUCUAAACCUCAUAUGGCUUCCUCUUCCUCUCCAUCUCUAGGUAAAUCUCCCUCUCCCCGACUCGAGCUAUCAUAUCCUCCAGCGUCUUGUAGUUGGAUAGGCUCACAAAUUUUCAGAUGUUGCUCCUCAGCAUCUUAUGAUAUCGAGACUUCUUUAUCUCCACGUCCGCAACAUAUUGUGGAACAAGAAGCGCCCUCUCCCUGAACAUGGCGAUGAUCUCCGCCACCGUCUCAGUAGUCUUGCGAAGAUCCUGGUACUCUAGCGCCAACUGCUGCACCUCAAUAAUCGGUGCAAACUCAUCUUGGAACCUGGUCGAAAAAUAUCCCAUCUCAUCCUAUCAACACCAUCAUCACCCACAACACUACCAACCUCUUCCCACUGGUCUCGAUCCAUGUUCUUCAAAAGGCAGGAAGCUAGUCUAACCUUUCCCCCCUCACGACAAUGACUGUGGCGCAAAGCAUUAGCAACAUCUACUAACCAACGCCUGCUCUCAUUGGGGUCCUUCUCCCCAUGAUAGUAUGGAGCUUCAUAAGCAUGAAACUCCCUGAAUGUCAAAGAUCGAGCUCUUGCUAUAGACAUCAUCUGAGAACGAAAUGAGCUCAAUCGCUCCUCCAAAACCUCUAGGAUACCCUCCUUGACCAAAACCAAGAUCACAUGAGUCUGAUCAAGAAUGCAACAAGUAAUCUCUAACGAGAGAAACUCCUUAGUCUGUUCAUCGAGCUGCACACCUCCAGAUCCUGAGCAUGAUCCCUCCCCGACACUAGACCAACCAAUUGGCCUGCUCCGUAAUACCACCAUACAGAAAACAAACUGCAAAAACUAUUAGAAUACGCAUCAAAAUAUACUGGGGAAUCACAACCCUACAAGCUUCCUGAUUUUAUCGCACCCCUGACAGAUAAGGCUCCCAACACUAGAUCUCCUCCUAGGUUUUCCUAGGGCAACUCCAUACCACUGUCCGCGAUCAACUGUAGAAGGAAUUUCCGCUAUCUCCUUCUAACUAACUCACGAAUACCAUCACAUAUCACUAAAACCAGAUAAUUCUUCGAACGAGAGGUCUCACACUACAAUGGUUGGACUCAAAGAAGAGCUGCACAAUAGAGUUAAAACCUAACUUUCUAAAAUUAUUUUGGUUCCUAUGAUAUGUAACUUAACAUAUUCGUUUACUAGUUAGCUGAAGUUACUUAGAAUUCCUAAAAGCACGAUUCAAGCAGCAUUCGAGCAUCAAGUAUCAAAACCAUGCAUAACCUAAUCAAUCCAUCCUAUAACUAACUAAUCAAUACUAUCAUGCAAAUCUACAACCUUAUACAACAGGCAUACAAAGGCAUCUCUCCUAGCAUUCUAUCAUGAAAAACUGAGUAGAUCCUUAGCCCUAACUAGCAUGCGAUUCAUAAAUUCAUAGAUUCAAGCAAAUCAAAUAACAUGUAUGGGUAAUUUAGGAAAACUUACUUGAGCUCGAUUGAUUGCAUACACCACACCCUUUCUUACUUUAGAAAACCCCCUUUUUCUUAGAAAUAUUUUUCUUUUGGAAAAACUUUACCAAAUCCUCAGUUUGAGUUUAGACAUGCCCGAGAGCGUGCCCAAAUCCCUCAAACCAAGGCUCUGAUACCAACUUGUAACAACACAAAAAUACGACCCAAAAAUUUCAUUUUUCAUUCAAGUGAAAACAGUACUUUAAAUCAUAGUUCAUACAACCCAAAUAAAAUAAGUAUGUCAAAUAUCAGGAACAUCAGAGUGUGUCCCAUAAACAGAAUCCAUAUGAUGUGUGCAAUACAGGCAUCCUGAGCUCUUCCCUUGCCACUGGAAAUACCUGAAACAUAAGUUGAAAACCAUAAGCAUAAAGCUUAGUGAGUUCCCCAAUCUGCCCCAUACCAUACAUAAUAAAUCACACAUUGGGCUCUCACUCGGUAUCGGGCCCCACCCGACAUCGAGCCCUGCUUGGUAUACAAAUCUGUUACUCUCAGGCCUCCCCUGUCACUGGGCCUCGCCCACUAUAUAUGUACAAUCAAUAUCACAUAAUCAUGCUAACACAUAUAAUGAUCAUAACACUAGCAUAUGUUCUAGUCUUCAGGACUCGCCUGGCUAUAAGAUUUACAAAAGCAAACAUAUUUAGGUAAUUGGAAGUACGUUAGUAUUUCUUAGAUUGCCCUCCACAAAUGGUUAUUCUUCUCCUCCUUUAAAACUAUUUAGCAACUUUUUUGUUUUCAUCUGAAAUUUGAAUUUUAGAUAGUCACUUUUAAACAACUACAAAACGAUAACAACCAUUUUUAAACAAAAGAGUAAAAUUGUCAUCUACUCGUAUUGGUAGACUAUAUGUAUAUUUACAAUUAAUAGCAACAUACUUGUAACGCCAAUUUUCAAGUAUGUCUCGUUUAAUUAAAUUAACAUUUAUAAUUUUUGAUUUUUUGUGGCCAUGACGUAUUGAUGGAGUCACACAAUGUGGACAAGGUCAAUAUUUACAUUAGUUAGUGUCACGAUGUGGAGUCUAUUCGCCAUAGCAUGGCCACUGUUUAAUGACAAACCCUAAUUUGGGGUUUGUGCCGCUAUAUAAGGGAUUUGAUAUCUUGGGUUGCCCACCAUCAGCCUUAAUCACUCUCCCUUAGCCUCCAAGAGCAAACCCUAGCCUCUAUUACUAAACUUUGAGUUUUUGUGGUGUUUUGAUGAAGAAGAAGACACCCUUGGGCUUUGUUUCAACAACCAACUCUCCCCAUCCCUAUUGUGCAUGUUUUUUAGACUUUUGUAAGUCCACAAGAUCUUAUUUUUAUGUUACUUAUCUCUAGAUCUAGCCAUUUUUUCCCAUAAUCUUCAUGGUGUGGAGAUUUGGAAGGUUGGAUCCCAUAAAGUUGGUAACUUUUUGGAUCUUCGUAGUCAUCUUAGUCUCAUAUGUUCCAGACCUGAGGAUCUUUGGGGAGGUUUUUGGUCCCAUGCUCAAGCUUUAUGUUCCUUAUUGCCAUGUUUUUUUUUACCUAAAAUGGAAGGGUCAUGUGUUGGACAUGCAUGCUCAUAAAAUUUCAAUUUCUAUGGCCCAUUAGGUGUAGGAAACCCUUCUGGAAACUUUGGAAGAUUAACUUUAGAGAUUAGGUGCGUAAUUGGUGUUUACAUGCCUUUAGUUACCUUUAAGGAAUUAGGGUUUGGGAUCUUAACUUAUUGAGGUUUCUUAAUGGAUAAAGUUGGAAACUUUAUCCAUCAAAACCAUGAGAAGGACCAGAUUUAAGCUUUAGAGCUCUUGGAGUUGUAGGAAAAUGGCUUAUAAGGUUAAGUUCUCCAGACCAAUCCCCAUGACAUGACCUUAUGCAGCCACAACAUGGCAACUAGGUAAGAACCCGUAUGUUUCUCCAUUUCGCUGCCACGACGUGGCCAAGGAUGGCCACAACAUGGCAACUUGUUGAAUGUUGACACUUGACUAUUAACCGUUGACCAUUGACUUUGUCUAAGUUUGACUCUAGGUCAAAUGAAGUAAUUUGAGCAGUAGAUUUAGGCUUGGUCCCUGUUUUUUGUAUAGGUAACCUAUAGAUCCGAUAUAUGGAGUAGUGAUCUGUUUGACUAUCUUUUGAGGUGAUUUUUCCUUGUUGUACUUGUGGGUCGAAGGCACCAAUACUGACCCACUAGUUUGAGUUCUGUAUCCUAGUUUAUAGGAUGUUUCUAUGUUGUAAGUGAUCCAUUAGAUUGGUAGAUCUGUAUGAUUACAUGUACUUGUUGGUUAUAUGUUUAUGUUUAUCUGUUGCAUAUGUCGACAUAAUGCGGUUGGGUUGAGGCGAUACUGCUUCGUGCGGAAGCCAACAAUCUCGGGAGCAAACCAGUCAUAUGCAAUUCAAUCUUAUGUUGUGGGAUCGGGAGCAAGCCAGUCAUAAGCUGGGCGUUGGGAGGCUAAUUGAGUCUUAUGUUUUGGGUUCAGGGGUAAUCCAUUCUGAUGGCUAUGGACCCAUCAUGCAUGUUUGUAUAUGUUAUAUUGUGUGGGGUAUUUUGGGGGAACUCAGUAAGUUUUGGCUUAUAGUUAUAUUUCAUGGUUUCAGGUACAUCGGAUGAUCAGGGAAAGGAAAAUGCAUAAUUGUGCACAUCAUCCUUGGAUAUUAUGUUGACUAGAAAUGAGCAUCGGAACCGGCCCGAACCGGAACCGACCCGAGAAUCGAAUUUGGUGGAAAAUAGGAACCGAACCGGACGGCUGGUUCUACCAGUUCUGGUUCUUGCCAGUUCUUCAAUGUUGGAAUCGGUCCUUGAGAAAUAGCAACGUAUUUUGAGAAAUAUUUCGGUUAGGAUUUUGGAUUUUUUUGGGUCUUGAAACCUUGUCUAGUUUCUCUAUGCUACCAUGUCUCUAAUUUACACUAUAGUCUAUUGAUUUAAGUUAACAGUUUACAAAUAGCCAACGAUGACUUUUGAUUUUCAUAUAUGAAAAACAAGCGAUUUCCAGACAAUAUAUAAAAAACUACAAGUUUGAUAUUAUCAAAAAUAAGUCUGUUUCUAUCUUUUUGUGUUAAUAGCGAUGAUAAGCAACCUACAGGUUAGAUUUGCUAAAAGGAAACUUUCAAACAAACAUUGCACCAUUUUGUUGAUAUCAACCAAAGUACCCAAAACCUACCAACUCUUAAAAUCUAAACGAGAACAUAACUACCAUAAUUUCCUAAUCACUAACUAGCCAUCAUUAACUACCCAACAUCAAAAUAUACUUUCAAGUUUCCCCAAUAAAAAAAGUCUAAUAUGUGGAUUCCAACAUCUAUUUGAAAUUUUGACUAAUUCCGUGAUCUCUUCCCUGUUAGUUUCAAGUUGUGUAUAGCCUCCACAAUGUCUAUAUAUAAAACAAAAGAAAAACGUUAUUACUUAAUAAAAUGUAGCAAUUACUAAUAAGAUGUUAAAAAUUAAAUUUAACAAGUAUUAGUGUAUUACCAAUAGCGAGGUCAUCGCCAGCUAACACAUGGUGCACCUCAUCAUAGUCGCAUAUAGGCAAGCUAUUCAUUCUUAGCCAAUUUUGAUUGCACAUCAAUGCCUCCACAAUCACAACGUACAAAUUAGUACGGUAGUCGGCAAUUACUCAACGACCAUUACUAAAUGUGGAUUCGGAUGCUACGGUGGAAAUUUGCAUCCACAAAAUAUAUAUUAAGAAACAAAUUAGUGUAUAAUACACGACAUGAAUUUAUAAAAUAAAUAUGAAAAUUGAAGUAAAAAAGGUCAAUACCUAUUGCCAUUCAAGAAACGAUCGAGAACCACACCGCGUUAUUUUUCCACCAUGUGCUAAUAUCAUAUCCUUUGUCAAAUCUAAUUGGGUCCUCAUUUAAGUAUCUUUGUAAUGGAAUUCCCGACGAAGUUGAGGGGACACUUCCCAAGGUCAUAUAGCUUCCAAAGAAUUCAUUUUCUUCAUUAACAUUAACAACUUCUUCGAGAGUUUCUUGUUGAGACGAUGAGGCUGUGUUUGGACUUUCCAAGUAUGUUUUAAAAAACUUGUCCAAUUUGCAUUCGAUAUCAAUAACCUUUGCACGUGCUAAUGAUUCUAUCUCAUCAACGGACUACUUAUUAUCUUUGUUCUUGGCUUUAAGCAUUUGGAUAAAAACAAUUUUCAAAAACUUUGACUUGCAUUGAUGAUCUAACAAUGUUGCAAAGAAGACAUAACCACUUAUCUUGUCAUAGUCACCCCAAUAUUUGUCAUAUAUUUCUUUCAUCUCUAGUACCAUAAAUAAAAAAUCCGUGUUGGUUUCAUGUUUCCUAAGAUGUUGCUCUAUAUCUUGGAUCUCCCAGGUAUACGUAUGGACGAUAGGCUUUGAUGAACACAAAACUUUUUCAGUUUUCUUCUUAAACUUCCAAAGGAACUCCAUCAUCCUUUUAAUCAUCUCAAAGUCUGAAUGUAAAAGUAUCCUUUCCACACUUUACUAAAACAGUGGAUCUAUCAAAAAGGAAAAAGAAAAUACAAUCAAACUUCAUGUAUGUUGUUGGGAAAAAACAAAUUUGGUAUGCUAUAUUCCAAGGCAUGUAACUCAUUCAGAUUUUAACAAAAUUAAUAGUUUUUAUAGUCUAAAAUUAACUACAAAACCUAAAUAACGCGUAGGAAAAAAUCAAGUGAAUACAACUUAAAAUGAGUGAGAUAUGCACAUUUUAAUAAAAAAGUCAGAUUAUGUUUAAGUGCUGAAACAGGAAAAAAAUUUGAUUUGAUAUGCUUCCUUGCGGGCUUGUAAUUCAUUCAAAUUUUAACCAAAUCAAUCAUUUUUAUAGUCUAAAUUUAUCCACAAAACCUAAAUAACAUGCAAGAGAAAGAUUCAGGUCAAUACAACUUAAAUUGAGUGAGUUAUGCAAGUUUCAAAAUUUAGACAAACUACUAAAUUUGCAAAUAUUGCUAAUUUUUAGUGCUGAAACAAAUUUGUUUUUAUUUACCUUGAUGGCUAUAUUCGGGAAAUGCGUCUUUCACAUCGUAUACUGAGCUUAGCAAUUCAAAGGUAGAGUUCCACCGUGUAUGAGUUUCACCACACAAAAACCUUUGAGUUUCUACAGCUACAGCCACAUCAUUCAUGGCUUGUUUAAAGGUCUUGAUCCGUUGCGGGGAGGCUCUAAUGUAGUUCACUUCCUCUUGCAUGCUUUUUACAUGGCAAACUUUGUAUUUUAACCCCAUUUUCACAACUAGGUUUAUGAUAUGAGCCAUACACCUAAUGUGAAAAUGUUUUCCUUUCUCGUAAAUACCCGGAAGUUCUUUAACAAUGAUGUUGAUUUCCGCGUAAUUCAUCUUGGCAUUAUCAAUGGUUAUCUUGAUGACAUUCGUCAUGACCUACUCGCUUGAAAAUUAGCAACUCCCAUGUCAUGUCUUCGGCUUUGUGAGUAUCAACCUCUCUAAAGUUGACUACUCUUUUUUUCAUGACAAAAUCUUUGGCAAUGAAGUGGGCCGUGACAACCAUAUAAUUUCUCUUUUGACACGAGGAUGUCCACGUGUCGGUUGUCUAGUGGAUGGCUGUUUUCGGGUUGCUCAAAUGUUUGUACAACUUCUGCCUCUCCAUAAAAUAGAAGGUCACAACAUCACGAGAAAUUUUAUGCCUUGAAGGAAAUAUCACCCUACCAUUGACGACAUUUACAAAUUCUAUGAAGGCCUCGCUUUCAAUGAAUCUAAAGGGUAGUUCCCUGAUGGUGAAAAGGCCUAGUAAGGCAUGUUGGAUCCUCAUAUCAUCAUGUUUCCAUUUGUAUACAUGGUCCUCACCAUUAGGAGCUUUCAUAAAUGAAAAGUUUUGAUAUUUUUCAUCAUCAUCAUUCAGUUUGUUGUUCGGAUUUAACUUGCAGCCAUUAAAAUGAUUGUUUAUUGAAGUUGUCCCAUUCCGGUUUGCAUCCGCGACUGGUAAUUUUAAACAAUAAUUACAUUUAACCCACUUUCUUUCAAUUCCAUCUUCAUCCUUUAUUUAUUCUAUCUCGAAGUAAUCCUAAACAAGAGCGGUACAAUUAUCUCUACCCUCACCUCGUCUGGUUGGGUUAAUCCGGCCCCUUAACACCUUUUGAGUCAUUUUUUUGUUAUUGGGUUUUAGUUUUGUUGUGUUCACUUUUUUGGUAACGCUAGUUUUUUUGUUUGUUUUGGUUUUUUUGGUUGUCUUUGUUUUUUUGAUGGUUGUUGUUCUUGUUUCUCCUCUUCUUGGACUGAUUCGUUAUUUGGUAUAACAUGGCAUGACGGUGUUUCUUUUAUAUAAUCUUCUUAUUAAUCUUCUCCAUAACCCUAUACUCUAAAAAUAAAACAUAUAAUUAGUACAUUGUUAAAUGGUGCUGAAAACAAGAAAGUAAUAUUUUAUAUGCUUUCUUGCAGGCUUUGCAAAUCAUUCAAAUUUUAACCAAAUCAAGAGUUUUUAUAGGAAAAAGAAUCAGGUCAAUAUAACUUAAAAUGGGUGAGAUAUGCACAUCUUAACAAAAAUAUCAGAUUACGUUUUAGUGUUGAAACAAAAAAAUUGAUUUGAUAUGCUUCCUUGCAGGGCUUGUAAUUCAUUCAAUUUUUAACUGAAUCAAUGGUUUUUAUAGUCUAAAAUUAUCUAAAAAACCUAAAUAACAUGUAGAAAAAAGAAUCAUCUCAAGCCUACUUCAAAUGAGUGAGAUAUGAACAUUUUAAGAAAAACUCAGAUUAUGUUUUAUUGCUAAAAUAGAAAAAGAGUUUGAUUUCAUAUGCUUACUUGCGGGGCUUGUAACUCAUUCAAUUUUUAACCAAAUCAAGAGAUUUUAUACUCUAAAAUUAUCUAAAAACCUAAAUAACAUGUAGGAAAAAUAAUAAUGUCAAUCCCACUUAAAAUUCGUGAGAUAUAAACAUUUUAAGAAAAAGUCAGAUUGUGAUUUAUUACUGAAAAAGAAAAAAGUACAAUUCUUACUUGGUCAUCAAAGACUUUUCCAAUCCAAUUAGCGGGAUUACCAUCUUGAUUAUUAGCAUCACGAACAUACGAGUUUCGGUAUCUUGAUGAUGGUACAUUUGGUAACCCAUUCAAAUUCUACAUUGUCAGUAUCAUACAUUAGUUAUAUAACUAAACAAAUUCUUAGUUUUAACAAUCUUACAUUCAUGCUACAAACUAAUCUAAAAAAAAUCUUGCAUGCAUGUCUACAAACUACAAAAUACAUUGUUAAAUGGAACUUAAAACUUGAAAUACAAAUGUAUAAUCUUAUUUUUUCUUCAUGAGCAUCCAUAGUUCGAAUUAUUGAAGGUGAUUGUUGAGAAGUUGAUGGUUGUAGACUACUUUUUCCACCUUUUGACAUUGCUUAUUGGUGGUUGAGAUUUGAGAAGAUGAUUAACGAUGGUGGAUUGGUGGAUAAUAGAUGUAGACUUAAGAUGAAGAGAAUAUAAGGAUGGAAUCAAGAUGUAGAGAUGUUGACUUGAGAUGAUGAUGAAUUGAUGAUCAAACAAUCGAACUCCAACAUGAACAACCUACUCGAUUUUUCUUUGAUUUUGGUUUAGCCGUGCAUUUUCAAGUUGUCGCUAGGGUUCAAGGAGGGUUUUUUUUUAUCUGAUAUGCUUUGUUUGUUCAUCUGAAACAUCCCAAAAAUACGGUCCAAAAAUUUCAUUUUUAAUUAUUAAUAAUACCCUAGUUAUCAAAACAUCACAUGAAAAUCAUAAGUCAUUGUUUCUCAUAACAUCAUAAACAUCUGCCAAACAUAUCAGAGUAAAAACAUCCCAGGCUCAAAUCAUGGUGUGUGUACUGCAGUCAUCCCGAGCUCUUCCCUUUGCUACCGGAAGUACCUGAAACCAAAACUGAAAAAUGUAAGGAAGAAGCUUAGUGAGUCUCCCAAACUAGCACAUACCAUACACAUAAUCAAAUAAUCAAAUAAUAACAUAACAUAGGCCUUGCCCGCUACAUCGGGCCCCUCUCGACAUCGAACCGAAGUCCGGCAUCGGUCCCCGCCAUACAUCGAGCAAAGCUCGGUAUACAUAUAACAUAUCAACAAAUACACAUAAAUAAUCACAUAACAUAAACAUAUAAACAUUCCUCGGGCCCCGCCCGACAUCGGACCGAAAUUUGAAGAUAAAAACAUUCCUCGGACUUUCCCUGGCAUCAGACCCGUCCGGAAACAUAUAAGACAAGCACAUGCAAGAAUCACAAAGACAACAAGCAUACGAACAUUCCUUGAGAACCGCCCGACAUCAGAUUGGAAUCCGGAAAUAUAAUAACCUACAUCGGGCAUUACCCGACAUCAGACCUUAGUACGGAACAUACUAACAUACAUAAACGGGCCGACAUUGGUGCCUUCGACCCGUUCCUAUAGGAAGAAACUCACCUCUCAGAACUGAAUGCAAAAUCUCACGGUAAGGAAUCUCUAAUGACUUCUCCCACGACUUCCCGAGCUAUCAUUACAAAGUACCACUUAGUCAAAAUCCAAUAAUCCUUCUUAGGGUAAAAUGACCAUUUUACUCCUGGUCCACUUUGGUCCAUGACCUAGGCCCAAGAUCUUAACGUGAAGGGCCCAAUUCCAUAAAGUCUUUUCAAGCCCACUUAUGGACCAGUUUUCUAAAUUGGGUCCAACUUUUCAAAUAGGCCUUCCCUUAAGCCCAAAGAUGUCCUUAGUCUAAAAAUUGACUUCUGACGGCCCACUAAGGCCCAAUAGCUAAGAAUUCCUAAGAUUGUCCUAAAUCGAGGCCCAAAUAACGUGAAGCCCAAAAUCAGUGAGUACGCAGGGCAUACCCCUCUGUACGCUAAGCGUAAAGGCUGCAUGGCUUGUACGCUACACGUAUUGGCUUGUACGCACAACAUACUACCCUGUUAAGCCAUAUUCCUCCAAAGUGCUUAAUCCCUUAACACCUUAAGCCUAAAAUACAUAUCUGAGUCUAUUAACAUGUCUUGACACAUAAAGUCGAUUACUUGGUGGCUUGCAUCCCACCAAAUGGACCCAAACUUGGAAUAUAGCAACUAAAUUCCAUGGAAAUUACUAGAACUCAUGAAAUUUCCCAAAAGGACCUUCAAGAUUGAAACUUUACUUCUUUUAGGACUCAUAUAGCACUAAGGGUGGCAACUCUAAGCCUAGAAAUGGAUUGGACUCAUAAAAAUCCAUUCUUGGGACCUAAAGAGGUCCAAAACAACAUUAACAUAGAUCUAAGAUUUCAUGAUGCAAGUUGAGAGCUUUUUACCUCAAAUGAAUGCCAAUUGGUGGUGUUAUCCUAGAUAUUGGAGCUCAACCUACUCAAGUUCUUCUUCUUCAACUUCUUCUUUCUCCUUCUAAGCUUCAAAUAUCCAAAAUGAGCUUCACAAGGCCAAAAACACACAAGGAUGAAGAAUGAGAGGUUUCUAGGGUUUUCUGAAUCGAGGUGGCUGGUAAGGAGGCUACCAUUUGGGAAAUAAUGUUGUAUUUAUAUGGCUUAAACCCUAAAAAUUAGGGUUUUGAGUAUACUCGCAUACGUUGCACGUACUCCUUAGUAUGUUGCACGUACGUGCAUGAACUCCUCACAUCCAAGGUUGCACUAUGCCCCGCGUACGCCAAGUUUACGCCCAACGUACAUCUCCGGGUAGCCCAAUCAUGACGGAUCACUUGCUAAUGACCCAACUCAUAUAGCCCGACAUUACUCUCGUAGCCCAACAAUUAAUUACAAAAUUAAAUAAUUAUCAUUACCUCAAGUCGCGGGUGUUACAAUUCUUCCCUACUUUAAUCAGACUUUGUGCUCGAAGUCCGUUGCGUCUGGAAAUAGCUCCGGGUAAUGCUCCCUCAUCUCCUCCUCGGGCUCCCAAGUCCACUCUGAGCCCUUGCAGUGUUGCCACUGCACCUUAACCAGCUCUACCCUCUUGUUCAUUAGCUCUUUCGUCUUCCUAUCGAGACUUGCUAUUGGUCUCUCGAUGUAGUUCAGACUAUCAUCAACCUGGAUAUCCUCUAAAGUUUAACUUAAAUUGGACCAAAUUCGCAACAAUAUGAAAAGUUUGGACCUCUGGUGCUAGUCUAAACUUUUUUGGAACAAAGUGGUAAUUUUUAGCUAACCACAGGGACCAUUUGUGCAGUUUAGUCAUGUAUUUGUGUAUGAAUUUAUAUAAUUUAUUUGGUCUUUUUAAAUUAUACAAAUACAUAAUCCUAUGUGUACAUGUAUUUAAGUUUUCAUAUAUAAAUACAAUUAUGUAUCAUACAUGUAUUUGGGUAUUUGCAUAAGUAAAUAACGUAUAUGAUUUUAUAAAAAUUAAGUUAUUGCAGUCGUCUUAAUUUACAUCAAACCAACUUGAUUCUUACAAUCAUUUCAUAUGGGUCUUACAUGAUGAUUUAAAAUAUACACAGAAAUGAAGUUCUUAUACCCAAAUUCAUGUUUAAACAAUAAUACAUGGUUGAAUAUUUGAGUAAAAAGGUAUAAGUUAUGGUACCGACCAUUGGUAAUGUCACAUUUGUGACAUUUAAAAUUUUACAAAACAAUUUUUCUCGGUUUGUGUGUCAUUAAUCUCGAUUUUAAAUUUUUUUCUAAAAACGGUGAAUGAUAGAGUUUAUUUUAAGGAUUUCAAAAAUCCAAACGGAUUAAUUUUACGAGUUAUAGAACUCUGUGAUUUAAAGUUUCGCGAUUAACAAAUCGGAAAAAGUCUGAUUUUUCAACUUUUUUAAAUAUUUUUAUUAAAAAUAUUAUGAACAUGAAAUUAAAUAUUAGACAAUAGCCUGAGUCCAAAAAUGCUUUCAGAAUUUCCAUUUUUGGUGUGCCAGUCCCUCAAUGGUUAGAAAUGGUUUUGACAGUUUUUUAAGAAAUUAGUAUUAUACUAGUUUUGGAUUCUUAAUAUGGUCGUAUCUUUUGCAUACGAACUCCAUUUUGGAUGUUCUUUAUAUUUUCGGAAACAUGGAAAUACGUACUACGACACUAGAGUGUUUGUUUUUCUCACAACGACUUAAUAUGAAGUUUUAGUUUUCCAGACACAUUCCUAAGGUUGCAGUUUGAGCAGUUUGAUUUGUUUGUCAAUUUACACAUUUGGGAGUAAGAUACUAUCUGGUAUCUUAUCAUAGUUGAAAUUUUUGGAUUAGUUUCUAUGUCCAUGACUAUAAUUGGUAUGUACUUGACCCGACUCGGCAUGGUCCAUUUGGAUUGCAUGGCAUCGGAACAUUUGGAUAGACCGUUUGUGAGAAGAUGACAUUUGUGACAUAUUAAUAUAUUAUAAGUUCUAAUAUAUUAAUAUAAAAUCAUGUUAUUUAAUUAUUAUUGAUGAAGAAUUAAUUUGGACUUAAUUUAGUGAUCAAAAGAGACUAAUUAAAUAUAUGGGGAUUGAUUGUGAAAAUCGUUAAUUCUUAUAUAUGUGGGCUUAUGAUCCAAGAUUCCUUAUGUUGGGUUUAACCCAUGUGGUGACCCAUGGAUACUCCAUGGAGGUUAAAACCCAUGGAGCAUAAGGAAUAGGUAAAGUCAUGAGUUACAUGGUGUAACCCUAAUAGCCACACUAUAUAAAGACCCCUUUAGCUCAAGAAAUUGGCACUAGUGAUACUUAUAUGAGGGCUAGCCAAUUUGAGCAUGAAGUGUCUUCUUUUCAUGGUUAUUCCAAGUGUUGAUGAUGUUGUGUGAACCAUUUGAGGUGUCACACUUGGGGCACUAGGCUCUCGAGCUUCAUGGAGUUAAGCUACAUCAACAAGGUAUGUAUUUCUAUCUAGUUUAUUAUUCAAGUAUCAAAAGAUUGUAUGCUAGUUAGGGUAAUACCUUGGAAUAUUCAUAUUUGCAUGUAUAAUAGAGAAAACAUAGAUCCAAGGUAUUUAGGGUUGCAUGUACACUUAGGAGUGUUAGAAUGCUCAAAACNNNNNNNNNNNNNNNNNNNNNNNNNNNNNNNNNNNNNNNNNNNNNNNNNNNNNNNNNNNNNNNNNNNNNNNNNNNNNNNNNNNNNNNNNNNNNNNNNNNNNNNNNNNNNNNNNNNNNNNNNNNNNNNNNNNNNNNNNNNNNNNNNNNNNNNNNNNNNNNNNNNNNNNNNNNNNNNNNNNNNNNNNNNNNNNNNNNNNNNNNNNNNNNNNNNNNNNNNNNNNNNNNNNNNNNNNNNNNNNNNNNNNNNNNNNNNNNNNNNNNNNNNNNNNNNNNNNNNNNNNNNNNNNNNNNNNNNNNNNNNNNNNNNNNNNNNNNNNNNNNNNNNNNNNNNNNNNNNNNNNNNNNNNNNNNNNNNNNNNNNNNNNNNNNNNNNNNNNNNNNNNNNNNNNNNNNNNNNNNNNNNNNNNNNNNNNNNNNNNNNNNNNNNNNNNNNNNNNNNNNNNNNNNNNNNNNNNNNNNNNNNNNNNNNNNNNNNNNNNNNNNNNNNNNNNNNNNNNNNNNNNNNNNNNNNNNNNNNNNNNNNNNNNNNNNNNNNNNNNNNNNNNNNNNNNNNNNNNNNNNNNNNNNNNNNNNNNNNNNNNNNNNNNNNNNNNNNNNNNNNNNNNNNNNNNNNNNNNNNNNNNNNNNNNNNNNNNNNNNNNNNNNNNNNNNNNNNNNNNNNNNNNNNNNNNNNNNNNNNNNNNNNNNNNNNNNNNNNNNNNNNNNNNNNNNNNNNNNNNNNNNNNNNNNNNNNNNNNNNNNNNNNNNNNNNNNNNNNNNNNNNNNNNNNNNNNNNNNNNNNNNNNNNNNNNNNNNNNNNNNNNNNNNNNNNNNNNNNNNNNNNNNNNNNNNNNNNNNNNNNNNNNNNNNNNNNNNNNNNNNNNNNNNNNNNNNNNNNNNNNNNNNNNNNNNNNNNNGGGGGUAUAAGGUUACUGCCUAUAAAAUGGCAGUUUAAUGGGUGUCCACUCUCACCCACCGCUUCCUUGACCGGUGGAGGGUCGUUAGCCGAACGGGUAGGACAAGGACUAUAAUUCUCCCUUCAUUAAAAGUAUUAAUGAUAAAUACUAAGUAACUAAACAUUUAUAAAUUCCCAAUCUUAGUUACUUAGGAAAAUGUGAAUUUGGUGCUAACCCAUGAAAUUACACUUUGCACUUUCUUAAGUCAGUUAGUGGAGCGUGUGUGGUUAACCGACACACUAGCUUGAUUUAACAAGGUAGGAAAAGGGUAACUUAAUGUUUAUCAUAGCAUCGGUGGAGCGUGUGUGGUUAAUCGGCACAUCGAUUAAGGGUACCAAGUAUAUUUGCAUGGUUAUUCACACCUUGUUUUGUGAUCCUCGGCAUCCCAGUCACAAAACCUGAAGGGCACACUCGAGAUUGAAACAUGCCUUUGAAAAGUUCAGUGAAUCUCAAAAGAACAUAGGAGUUUCAAAACCAAUUAAAACCUAAUAAUAUAUUUCGUUUAUCUUGGUGGAAAUUGGUGAAUCGUCAUUCACCUACCUUCUAGACAUUUUGUUUAUAGCUUGGAUUACGACAUCCCUCUUCCAAGUUAUAAAAUAGUUUGUAGGGUCCUAGCCUUAAUAUUUCAUAUUGGGUGUUAUAUUAAGGACUUUAGAUCAACAAUCUUGAACAUCUCACAAAAUAUGUCUAGUUCAGACAUCUAUGAUCCUCCCAAAUCUCUUGGAACUUCACUUCCUCCACCUCCUCCAAUUAUUCUCCCUAACCCACAAGUUCAAGGUCACUCAAGCCCUAUUGGCAAGCAAGGUCUAUGUGUGAUCACAUCUUGGAGAUGAAGUCACAUAUUGACAAGCCGGGAGAGUUGGGUGUCAAAGUCUUGAGAAAGUUGGAUGUUCAAUCACUUUCUAAGUCACAUAGUGAGUUCCUUUGGGACCACUAUGAAACAGACUAUGACAAGACCCUUAAUGAUCUUAUCUAUUUGCUAAGAUCAACUUCCUAAAACUUUAUGGACAUUGACAAUGAUGACAUUGGAUAUCCAGUAAAGCUCUCUCUUCCCAAUGGAAAGGGAUCGGCCAUAGUCAACUCGGUUGACCAAAUGGUAAAGAGAAAAGUUAAGUCUGUGAUAGUACCGGUACCAUUACCAAAUGGUCCAUAUGUUUAUAUUGCCAUAGGAAGGGGCAUUAGUUGCGAAGCUGCCAANGAAAAAAAAUGUGUGUUUUAGUUGUUUUCAAUCCUAAUUAAUCUAGAGGUAGUUCAUAAAAUGUGUUUCUAUAACUUGUUCUCAAGUUACAUAAAAGGUCACAUUUAUGAAUCUUAAAACUCAUAAAAGUGUCAUAGGUUACAUAAAAAAAAUGAAGAGUCUUUUUCAUUAAAUAGUAUUAUGACUCCAUAACUUGUCCUCAAGUUAUGGAUGUUUAAGAGUCACUUCUUUAAAAGUGUUAUUAAAGAAUAAGAGGUUAAAUAAAAAAAUGAAGAGUCUUCCUUUUAAUGAACCAUUAAACUCAUAAGUUAUGAAAUGAAAAGUUUUGAAUAGAUUCAAAAACUUGCACUCAAGUUUUGGAAUUUGUAAAGUUUUCACUUAUGAAUACUUUAAUUCCAAGUUAAGCCCUUAGAAUUUUAAAAGUUAAAAUUCAACCCUUAUACUUUCUAAUAUUAUAAGUUAAUAAUAUUUAUAUAUAUGUAUAAGAGUAAAGUCAGUCUUACCGCUAGUACGCCUCAUUCACGAAGCCGGUCUAUAAGGUGGGUAUAAGGUUGUUGCCUAUAAAAUGGCAACUUAAUGGGUGUCCACUCUCACCCACCGCUUGCUUGACUGGUGGAGGGUCGUUAGCCGAACGGGUUUGACAGGACUAGAAUUCUCCCUUCAUUAAAAGUAUUAAUGAUAAUACUAAGUAACUAAACUCUUAAUAAUACCCAAUCUUAGUUACUUAGGAAAAAUGUGAAUAAGGUGCUAAUCCAUGAAAUUACACUUUACACUUUGUCUAAGUCGUUAGUGGAGCGUGUGUGGUUAACCGGCACACUAACUUGGACUUAACAAGGUAGGUAAAGGGUGACUUAAUAUUUAUCAUAGUAUCGAUGGAGCGUGUGUGGUUAACCGGCACAUCGAUUGAGGGGUAAUUUAUUAAGGGUACCAAGUGAUUUGCAUGGUUACUUCACACCUUGUUUUGUGAUCCUCGGCAUCCCAGUCACAAAACCUGAAGGGCACACUCGAGAUUGAAACAUGCCUUUGAAAAGUUCAAUGAAUCUCAAAGAUCUAGGAGUUUCAAAACCAAUUAAAACCUAAUAAUACAUUUCGUUUAUCUUGGUGGAAAUUGGUGAAUCGUCAUUCACCUACCUUCAAAUAUUUUAUAGCUUGGAUUACGGCAUACCUCUUCUAAGUUAUAAAAUAGUUUGUUGGGUCCUAGCCUUAAUAUUUCAUAUUGGG